GCUUUACCAGUUCUCCCAUAAUUUUAUCAAUUUUUUCUGCUUUUGGGAAACAUGGAGUAAUAUAUUAUAGGUAUAUUAUUACCUGAGAGCAUGUGAUUGUUAUUCUGAGAUGAAACAUCAAACAGUCCAAUCUUAGCAACACAUGGCGUCCGGGUAUCCAAAACCACAGUCCACAGACAAUAGCAGACAGUUUUGACACACGAGGAGAAAACGUUCUCUCUCAUCGACGGACAAAGACAACGGAUGAUGUUUCACGCUCUCAGCAUAUGAAAGCCACCUCGGUGUGCCUGUCGCUGCAGUAGAGCCCAGGCUGCUGCUUGUACCCCUGCUUGGACAGCAGCCCGCGCGCCCUCAGCACCAGCUCCUUGUUGCUCACCUUGCCGUCCUUCUCCGCGAGGAUGGCCUGGAUGGCGUUGCUGAGCGCGCCGUAGGACAGGCCCUUGGCGGUCGUCGCGUCCGCCGAGGUCUGGUCGGUCUGGCACCCGCUGAUGAGGACGCCGUUGUGGGGCGCCCUCGCCGCCGUCCCGGCGUACACCUCCUCCACGCCGUGCACCUCCUGCUCCAUGGCCGGCUUCAGCUCCUCCUGCUUGCCCUGCAGCUUGGCCCUCAGCAGCUCCUGUGCCAGCGCGCCCACCAGGCCCACCACGCCGCCGUGCUGCCCCUGCUGCAGCUUCUCCAGCAUCACCUUCAUGAACUUCUUGAUCUUGGGGCUCGCGUCCUCGCCGAAGACGUUGAACAGCGUCAUCCGGAUCGACCCCACCUCGAUGUCCUCCUUCCCCGUCUUCUCCUUGAGCAUCUCGAUGAAUGUCGAGAGGGGCAGCGACCGGUUCUUCACGUGCCCGUCUGUGCCUGAGUCCAGGCUCGGCGCCUCGGCCUCAGCGUCGUCGUCGUCGUAGCUGCUCUGCUGGCCGCCGCGGCGAGGGAGGUGGACUCCUUGGGACUCGAACGCGUCCCGGACGGUCUGUUUGAGGAACGACCGGAAGCCGCCCGAGCCGGAAUCAGACCGCUCUUCCCGUUUGCCUUGCUGCGCCUUGUUCUGCUUUGUGCUGUGGCCAAUCUGCUCCUUGGCCUUGUCAAGCAGGCCACCGCUGUGGCAAGAGUCAGAGACUAUGGUGAACAGGCAGCCAUCUGGGACUUUCUGCACGAGCUCUGUGAAAUCUUGGUCUGCAGUGCAAAGAAGAAAAUUAGAAUGCCAUUGACAGGAAGGGAUGCAAGAUGUUACUGGUUAUUGACCGCUCUACUUCUAUGUAUUGGCUGCCUUCUCGAUAUACUCCCUCCGUUCCAAAAUAUAUGACCCAACUUUGUACUAACUUUAGUACAGAGUUGAGUUAUCCGUUCCAAAAUAUAUGACCCAACUUUGUACUAACUUUAGUACAGAGUUGAGUCAUCUAUUUUGGAACGGAGGGAGUAGUAGGUAAUAUCUGAAAGCUGAGGAUUACCGAAGCACUAGAAUAUUAUCUGCAGAUAGCCAUCACCCAUCAGCUUAACUGCCUAUGAGUUGAAGCAGGCUCAGAACAUUCUAUUGCAGGAAAAGAAAAAACAUGAAUCAGGCAAGCCAACAAGUGGCAGAUUCAAACAUCACCUGGUUGCUGACAUUCAGAUCUUCUGUGAACUUCUUUUUGGUUUCAAAAAUGGACCCUGAUCACUUUUGACACAGUUUGAUUGAUGCUUUUCCACUACAGGUUUAAAUUAACUUGGUACCCUCUGCAUGUCUAGGACUAAACUGGUUUAAGGAAUGCACUUUCUGACCUGCUUCAUGACAAAAUUUGGUAAUGCAACUUAGGUUAGGAGUGUGGAGCCUAGGUCCUGCUGGUACAGCAACAUGUUUCUGCUGGCUUGGCGUUUGCAUGUUUGGAUUGGUACAAAACAGAUGCAACAAACUCUUGUUACUGCCAAAACAAACCAAAUUUCUGUGACUUGCAAAUUUUGGUAGCAUUCAGAAUGGGGCCUUGGUAGCAAAAUAAAUGAGGCCAAAUUGUAUUUACAUUACGAAUUUUGGCAGAAAAAAAUCUUACGUAAAUAGCAUGGUUUAAGACAGUUGAUUGUAUAUCGAAAUAUUUGUGCUAUGUGGUGAAAAAUCUGCAAUCAGUGUUACCACAAUGUACUAUCUGAAAUCAUAGUCACCUAAAAACUAAUCCAAUCAGAAAUGCAGAAAUUACCACAGCGCUAAAUCCGAUAAUUAAGUCGUAAACGUGACAAUGAAUCAAAUAACGUCCCUCUCAGAUCUCACCAACCACACUCGAUUCACUAACCGGUAGUUCGAUUCAGAACAAGUACAGGAGCAACAUGGCACGAGACAAAACGAAAACGGAAAUGGCGUCUCCGGAUCUGCGCUGCGCACCUGUGAUGAGGUUCAUGUCGGAGGGGACGAUGCACUCGUCGAAGCCGGUGUCGUCGUCCUGGCCGGUCUCGGCCGGCAGGCGCGUGCCGUGGCCGCUGUAGUGGAAGAAGAGGGAGUCCCCGGGGCGCGCGUCGGCGACGAGGCGCGCGAGCUCGCGGCGGAUGUUGGCGCCCGUGGGCUGCUGCUGCGGCGCGGCCCGGUCGGCGUCGGAGAGGACGCGGAUGCCGGCGUCUUCGAAGCCGAAGCGGUCGACGAGGCAGCGGCGCAUGCGGGCCACGUCGUUGUGGCAGCCCUUGAGCUCCGCCUUGGUGCCCGCGUAGUUGAUGCCCACCAGCACCGCGCGCUUCCGCCCCAUCCUUGGGUUCGGCUCGGCGGUCGUCGGCGACGGCGUUGGCGGUGGUGCGGCGAGGCGAGGCGGCGGGCCUCGGGGAGUCCGAUGGAUGGAAAUGGCGUGGAUUUGGUGGGGUUUGCUGCUGGGGCUUUUUGUUUUGUUUUGGGUUGGCGCCGGCUGUCUGCUGGCGUUUCCGAUCUGGCAGCUGCUGGGUGGUUGGUGGCCGUGUGCGACCCGGUCGUCGCUUUGUGCUGGGUUGGUCAGCGACGCGGCGGCCGAUAAUAACACUGUGUUCGUAUGCGCACCCAAACCCACGGGCCAUGGCCCAUUCAGUCAUCUCCCUCCCCCCGGGUCCAAAUAUUCCAUAGUCUCUACUAUUAAAUACUAUUAAAGGGGAUCGAACGUCGUGAUGGUUCUACCUCCUUCGAUCCCCACCUCCCUUCGUCAUCCCCUCCAUCGCACGAAGACAAAAACCAACGCAUGCUCCCACCACCCAUCGUCAAAAAAACUGCCGCCACACGCGCACACACACGUCGCACGCCCCCAUCUCUCCCCAAGCCCCCUCGCUCCCGAUCCCGUCUCUGUCGGAGAAAAGCAUCGCCGCCUGUGCUCGCCAUCAAUCCCAUGCGCUGCAUCAUGACCCGAUGUCCCGUGCCGUCUGGAUCUAGGGAAGGGAAUGCCUUACAUCCCGUCCCUUCCGCCCGUCGUCGAAGCGAUAGAGAUAGCAGAGAGAGAGAGAGAGAGAGAGAGAGGAAGGAGCGCAGCGGCGGACCUGCCCUUAGGGCAUCUCCAGCCGUUGCCCCCCCCCCCCAGGACGCAUAAAAAUUGCCCCCUGGGGGCAAGCCGGCGAUACAAUCGGCGCUGGGGGCGGUUUUGCGUCCAGUCGUCGUCCCCAGCUCGCCCCCAGGCGCCGAAAUUGGCCCACUUUGCAGCCCAAUUUCGGCGAAUAAAGGGCCCAUAUGGGCGAGAAUAGGCCCAUAUUCGGCGUGGUUUCGCCGUGUCUCGGCGUUCAAUUAUCAACACAAUUAUUUCUUAUCACAUAUUUCAUCACAGAAAAAUCAAAUACUUCAACAAAAUAGUACAACAACAAAUAGUUCGAUACAAAUUAUAUAGUUCAACAAAUAAAAACUCGUAUUUCAUCACACGGCGUCCCCCUUGAGCUUCCAUAGGUGCUCAAUCAGAUCUUUCUGCAGAUGAUGAUGCACCUGUGGGUCUCGGAUCUCCUGACGCAUACUGAGAUAGGCAGUCCAAGUUGCCGGUAGCUGGUGAUCAACUUUGGCUAGAGGACUCUGCCUGUAGUAUGGUUCAGUGUCAAACACUGGGUCUUCUUGCUCGCUCUCGAUGAUCAUGUUGUGCAAGAUGACACAGCAAGUCAUAAUCUCCCACAUUUGAUCUUUGGACCAGGUCUGAGCGGGGUACCGAACAACAGCGAAUCGAGAUUGGAGCACACCAAAUGCCCGCUCGACAUCCUUCCUGCAAGCCUCCUGAACUUUCGCAAACCAGGCGUUCUUGCCUCCUGCCGCAGGGUUUGAGAUCGUCUUCACAAAUGUCGAUCAUCUCGGAUAGAUGCCAUCUGCUAGGUAGUACCCUUUGUUGUAUUGGUGCCCAUUGAUCUCGAAGUUCACCGGAGGAGAAUGGCCCUCAACGAGCUUGGCAAAAACAGGAGAGCACUGCAGCACGUUGAUGUCAUUGUGAGUUCCUGGCAUACCAAAGAAGGAGUGCCAAAUACAAAGGUCAUGUGUGUCUACCGCCUCAAGCACCACACUACAACCGCCUUUGGCGCCUUUGUACAUCCCCUGCCAACCAAAUGGGCAAUUUUCCAUUUCCAAUGCAUACAGUCGAUGCUUCCAAGCAUCCCAGGAAAUCCUCUUGCUGCAUUCUGGGCUAUGAUCCGAGCAGUGUCUUCCGCAUUGGGUGUUCUCAAGUAUUGUGGCCCAAACACUGCCGCCACUGCCCGACAGAACUUGUAGAAACACUCUAUGCUGGUGGACUCGGCCAUGCGCCCAUAGUCGUCGAGUGAAUCACUGGGAGCUCCAUAUGCAAGCAUCCUCAUCGCUGUCGUGCACUUCUGGAUGGAGGUGAAUCCAAGAGCGCCAGUGCAAUCCAUCUUGCACUUGAAGUAGUUGUUGAACUCCUGGAUGGAAUUCACAAUCCUGAGGAAGAGCUUUCGGCUCAUCCGAUAACGGCGCCGAAAUGUUCUCUCGCCAUGAAGUGGAGCAUCGGUGAAGUAGUCGGAGUAGAGCAUGCAGUAGCCUUGGAGACGAUGCCGGUUCUUUGCUUUCAUCCGCCCCGGCGCCGAGCCACCUCGCCGCGGCUUUUCAUUGCUCGCCAGCAGCUGGCCGAGGGCGGCGAGCACCAUGAGAUGCUCUUCUUCCUGGACGUCGGCCGCGGCUUCCUCCUCCAGCAGCGCGGCGAGCUCUUCCUCCUCAUCCGAGUCCAUCGCCGAGGCAGGCAAAACGCCGAACACCUUGCGCUCGGUGGGCGUGUACCCGCCGUUAAACCGUGCCUCCGCGGCCGAAAAUGCCCAGCUGCUGUGGGAGGGGCUGCCGCGGCGAAGCGCUGCUAUUUUCCGGCUGGGAAUGGCUAUCUAGCGGAGUAGGGCGGCGGCCGUCGCCAGGAUAUAGCUAGUGGUGACCGAGGGCGCGGGGGGUGCGAGGCGAGUCGGGGGAAAAAACCUUGACUUUUCCGCUGUCGGUGUGGGCCAGGCGUGCUUUUCCCUAGCGCCGGAGCCCCCAACUGCUCCCCAGCGCGCCGGGUUCGGCCUGUGACCACCGAGCGGAAAAAGGUCCAAACCGGCGAUUUUCGGCGUCCUGGGAGCGCGACUCGGCCGUUUUUUCGGCGCCGGCGCCGAAAAAAUGGCUUGGAGGGCCCUGUUGGGGGCGCGGCUGGAGAUGCCCUUAGCGCCAUAAAGGAAGAGUGGUGGUGGGGCGGCACCACAGUACUGCUGCUGCUAGGACAACGGGGCUCCUUGUGUAGAGGCAUAAAGGAGGCGGCAGUGUGUCCUUCUGCAGGUCCUCCUCCAUGUCGGUACACUUUUUUUUUAGAAAAGGAGGAUGGCCCCCGGCCUCUGCAUCUGGGAGAUGCAUACGGCCACUUUAUUAAUUAUUCUCGAGGACCUUACAAAGUAUUACAAACAAUAUACCUGAAUCCACCAUCUUGGCAACAUAUGCCACUACUCUUAUUCAUAUGAUGAAGGGAUGCUAGCUGGGCCCCUACCCAAACUACUCACCUAAACCUAACAUCAAAAGCCGGAAGCCCCAGCCGACCCACAUACCGGGUCUGGGGCACAAUCCGGUCAGACACACUCUUGCGUCGUCGCCACCAUCUUCCACAGGUCCGUCUUCAGAUGAUAUUGAGUCUUCUACCUUGUGAAGGCCACAUCAGCCAUCGACGUCACCAUGACGCCAGACAGCUACCUCCUCCUGCGCGAGUCCAUCUCGGCGCAUCGGACGCCGAGCCUCCACGGUGCCAUGCCGCCGAUCUCCGCCGCCAUCAAUGAGUGAGAUGAAGUACCACUCCACCACGGCAAGUACAAGGUGAGGAAGGGCGAGGUCGCCAUCGGAGACACGGCCGGAAGAUAAGCACCGCAGCCACGGAGCUGCAACGCGGUAGAUCAGACGGGCCGCCACCAGGAACCAGACAAACUCGCCAUGCACACCCAGCAUCCCCAGGCCCAAAUCGGCGCCUUCAAGAAGGUGACGACGCUGUGGCGCCGCUGCCGCUUAGCCACCGGGGCUAGGGUUUUCACCCGGGCGUAGGGGAAGGGGGGAGGCAGGGGAGGUAUAGCCUCGGCGCCGCCACCAAGGAGGGAAUGGCGUCCGGGACGCCAUCGACGCCGUGACCGCCACCGGCGGCCAAAGGUUUCCCCCGGCCAAGCACCUUGCCGCCACCUCCGAACCAGCCACAACAUGAGCCAGGCCGGCCGGAGGUCAUGCAUCACGAGCGGAUUAGAUCGCCUCCGAUCUGACGAGGGGAGCCCGGGGCCUCCCCGUGCCACGACCAGCGCCCACCGGGACCUCGCUGCCCGCGCAGCCGAGGGGAUCCGGCCUACCUCACCGACGAGCACUCCCUGCCGUCGGAGUAGUGUCGUCCGCACCAGCGAGGCCGCCGCCUCAGAUCCCACCAGCGCGCGCCACCCGACGCGCCGGCCGCCGAGUUCCGCCGCCGCGCCCGAGGGAGGAACCCCCCGCGGCCCCUACUCCAGGCGAAGGCAGGCGAGAUCCCGCCGCCGCCGGCACCGCGCGAGCUUUGCUCGGCGGCGCCCGCCGGCGGCGGCGGGAGGAGAGGAAGGAGGUGGGGUUGGGUCGGCGGCGGCUAGGGUUGGGCGCCCGGGUCGCCCGCGGGGGGGCGACACGGGGCUGCGGCAGCAAAAAUAUGUCUCCACAUCGGUACACUUGACAUCCACCUUUUCUUCUCCUGCGGCCAGGCAUGUGCAUAUCAUCCUAUGCCAUUGACCCCUCAUCGGCGGAGGUGUGCGAGGAUUUCGUCUCCGAGCAAAAGAGAGGCUCGCCCUCUCCGAUUUCAUAUAAAGAAACCAAGGUCUAGCAGUAACAAGGUCCAGGCUCUUUCGCUAGGAUAUGUGCCGCUCUGUUUGAUAUACAUCGUGACUUUGUGCUCCUUCAUGGUACUCAACAUCUCCUUGAUCACUCCAGUCAACAACCCAUGGACUGAUUUGUUCAAAUCACCAUCAUUCUAGCAAGUUGUUAGUUGUUACCCACGCUAAAUGUAAGCUCUCUGACUGCAGAUUGUAUGCGGCACUCUGGUUACUCAUGAAUUCUUUCUUGUAUUCCAAAAAGAAUCCAUAUCAAUGAUUUUGCAAUAUAAGACAUCCAUAUGAAAUUUUCCUGCAUUUUUCAUUGAAGGAAUAGUAGCUCUGCUGCCUAUAUCAAUAGAAAAAAGUACUAAAUUUUUUAUGUACAGGAAAAACUAAAUUUCCUGCAAUUGCAACCACAAAAUCUAUAGUUUGCUGGUUUCUUUCAAAUAAUAUGCAAUGAUAUUUCCUUUGCGUUCUAAUUUAUUGAUUUUAGAGCUCUCACUUGAUAAAUAUCACAAGGUAGUUUCAGUUGUGAUAUUGAGUGUCCUUUUUGUGAUUUUCAUAUUAUUUUAGUAAUGAGUAGUAACCUUAUAUUGCUAUAUGCAUAUCACAAAUAAGAUCUAUAUUGUUUAUCUCGAACCUGUAAAUAGUUUUAGCUACCUCCAGUUUCAGUAUGAUCACACAUUGCAGGUACAACUUGACUCGUUACUUCUGUGGGCAUGGAAUUGAUUUGCCUCAGGUUUCUAGCUCGCUGAAUUUAUCUUCAUGUUGCCACUGAAGCAUGUUGUUUUCUUGGGAAAAUCAAUAUAGAUAACCAUGGUUUCUCUGUAAUAAUAUAUAUGCCCUGAUCAAUGUAUUAGGAUUGAUUUUUUCAUUACUUCUUGGAUAAUGGAGUAUUCUAAUCAAAAUCAUGCUGACUUUCUAUGUAGCUCACUUGCAUGGGACGUUUAUGACAGCACACAUUGAAGACCAAGUAUAGCAUAUAUAGUUAGUCGGUGAUGUCUCAUGAGAAAAUGUAAGCUAUAUGAACUUAUCAACUCCUAAUUUAUCAUGCAGCGACAGAUCAAUUCUGAUUGGUAUAUGUUAGAAACUCCACUUUGUUAGUUUUGAUAAAAAUAUGUGUGCUAUUAUAUUCUGAAACCAAAGCAUCAAAUCACGUUGGUACCUACCAUGUCCUAUUAAAGUUAAAAAAACUCUGAAAAGAACUCUACACGUAUCAAUUCACAUCAAAAGAAUGACGACGCCAUAUGGAUUGGAAAUUGGUAAUCUUGGAUUGAUAUGUCAUACUCCCUCCGUAAAGAAAUAUAAGAGCGUUUAGAUCACUAAAGUAGUGGUCUAAACGCUCUUAUAUUUCUUUACAGAGGGAGCACAUGACUUGAUUUUUCUGGCAAGUACAUUAAACUUAAUCAGAUAAAGAGGAUCCAUUGUUUUUCACUCGAUAAUAAUUUUUCUCCCGAACACGAAUAGUCUAAAAAAUAAGCAUAUUUUGGCUACUGAAGUAUGUGUGUGUUAAACAAUCCUUAUGUUGUCUCAAAAAUUAUCAUAUUUCUAUUAUAAAAGCGUAGUAGCUGUGUUAUUUUCAUAAAUAUUAGAGCAUCUACAAUCGGACCUCUCAAACGCGACUCAUACGUCCGGGUGGGCCGCCCGGUCGUGAAAAUCGGACUCAGGCGGACACCUCAAACGGGUCUCAAACGCCUGGGCUGACCGGCACCCCUCAUAUCCAGCCCAAAUAUGAGGCGGAUAUGGGGGCGCCCGGGCACGCCCGCCGACCCCGCUGCAGGUCGUACCGGUCCCACCUGCAGCGGCCGAAGCUCCUCCCGCUCCCACCUACAGUGGCUGAACCUCCUCCAUCUCUCAUCGGUGCAAUCAAAUUUUAGUCCCACAUCGCCGGGCGAGGCGGACGCCGCUCGACUUAAAUAGUUGCACUAGCGGAUGGCGGCAAGCUUGGUUGUUGUUGUGUAGGUCUAUCAAUUCUCGCAUGUGUGAUCGUGAUAAAUUUGACACUAGACUGCAUUUCAUUGACUGAUGAUUGUUCAUCGAGUGUCAAGUUUGUCUCGAUCAUAUAUGUUGAUACCUCUACUACAAUGACAGUAGAUUUUUAUUUUAUUUUGAUGCAUGGACGCAUAGUGAUUCAAAAAAAGACACUAUGAAUCUUCUAUGUGAUAAAGAUAGAAGAUUCAUAGUAAGAGUCCAUAUCCUUAACAAAGAAUGCAAUGAUGCCAGAAGCUUAUCCCUUCUGGACAACCUGGUUAUUUAAGUUGGUCGACUAGCUCAUCAGUCAGCGAGGUGGGACUAAUAUGGGUGUGAAAACAUUAAGUAUGAGCAAUUUUUGGUGCCCAGCCGGCCCAAGACGGAUAUGAUGAUCGACGUGCAUGGCCCUGCAUGUAAUAGAUGUUUUAAAAAUAGAAUAUGUGGUUGUAAAUUGUAAAUUUUGAGGUACGCCCGGUUACUUUCCGCGGGCACGUCCGCGGGCGUUUGAGGGUCCAAAUUUGCAACCUCCGGCUGUAGAUGCUAUUAUCCCUCAUUGUACAAAUGUUUCAUUUCUUAGUAACUCACAGUUCAGGUUUUAAUCAAUUACUGACAUUGUCUUCUAUUGUUAAAACUGAAAAUAGAACCUUGACUUGUUUCAGAGCAGGUGGCAGAUAGUUCGAUACUGUAGUACUUUCUCCUAACUUGAUUUAGCAAUGUUUCUUCUAAAUCUAAGUUCUUGCUGUGAAGUUGGUUUAUGAUGUGCUAUGUGUACUUCUAGAAAUUAUUUUUUAUAUAGUAAGCAUAAACAUAAUCUGCCUAUAUAUGUUCCAGGAAACAAUUAUCUGACGAGAAAAAUACACAGGAUGACAUCAAAUGAAUAUUUAAGGGAGCUCCACUUGCAUUGCUCCUUUGUAACUAGGACUAUUGUUUUGUGUUUCCCAUUGUUUUUUUAGUUAGAAGUCUUCCAUAGGUACUCCUUCUGUAACUUAAUAUAAGACUUUUUUUCACACUCAUACUGUCAAAAAACGUCUUGUAUUAAGGUCUGGAGGGAGUAAAAUGUAGUUGUGUUCUCCAUCUUUUGCACACAAUAUAUUUUUGAUUCAUGCUGGUCAUAGCAAUCGUGUUUACUGAGACAUGUCUUUCACAGUUGAAACUUGUUUUACCAUAAUAUGUACUUGUAAUACUUCCCCAUUUGCUGGUGCUAAUUUACAUAAGACAUAUCCUUAGUAAAAUAGGGAUACUAUUAUGUGUAUGCCUUGUCAGAUAUUUGAAGACUUUGUGGUCAUUGAAGGGAACAUCACUAUUGAAAUUCAUCAAGCUUUAAUAUAGUACUUCCUGUAUUUAGAUGUUGUGUUACCUUUUUGAGAUGAUGUAUAUUUCUAGCAUUUUCAAUGUGAAGUUUGUGCGAAACCUGAAACGACAUGUCUGCUUGUUUGAUGCUCCAUUUGAAUAUUUUUGGAAAUUUAACAAGAUUUUUUUCAAGGCUAGAAAGCAAUCAAGGAUCGAACGGAGUAUGCCUUGCAAUCAGUCAUAAUGUAGCACAAAAGAAGAAAAAUUUGUAGUUGUGCUCAUGUUGGACGAUAAAAUGAUAGGGAAAUUAUGUUUUUCAUUUUCAAUUAUAUAACACGACCAAGUUUGUAUCCUUGCCCUCCUUUUGUGUUAUCAUUUUCAAUAUUUGGUUAUCCUUUGAUCAUUGUCCUCCUUACUCAUUUGGGACCAAUGGAGGACACCUUUACCAGGUUGUAGGAAUUUGUGAAAACUAGAUCGGUUCACUUGAAGCACAACCCACAUGUAUGUGAAGAACGUUUUCUUGCAACUAAGUAUUGCUAAUUGACCUUAUCACGAUCGAUUCACUUCUAGACAACAAGCACAAUAAAGCAAGCUCAACACAAUUGUCAAAAAAAAGAAGCAAGCUCAACAUGAUGAGUGGCUCAAAAAAUGAAUGGCAGCGACAGGGAGGACUUUUCCAUGGGUUGGAAAGCAAGGGUGCGAGGCUGCUUCAGUUUUGGGUGAUGCAAGUGCUUGAGGGUGACCCGGAAACAGGUAGCUUUGGGCGGGUGGGGCUAGAAAAGACCGCGGAUGAGGCUACUGAGAGACACAGAGCUCAUCAAUUUCGUGCUCACGUGGUCAAAAAGAUAAAGCACAAAGAGCAGACUCCAUUGUUGCUACUAAGUCAUAAACAACAUAUGACAUGCACAUCACUAUGUAUAUGUUCGUUGUUCCGUGGCAACGCACGGGCAUACAACUAGUUUUUUUUAGGUGACGGAGGCGAACCAGAGAGGAGCAGGGCAUUUUGCACACCGAGCUCCGUGGAGCCCUUAAUUUUGAAAACAUAAAAAUUAAUUUCAAACUUUUCGGUUUCAAAAACUUUUGAAUAAAAUACACAUGUAUACAAGGAUGUAAUGUGUGUGUGUGUGUUAAAUUUCAGGAUGGAAUACCUUCAAUUGCGAGCUGCACAAAAUAAAACAAUAUCAUGGACUUUGAGGAUGAAGAGUGCAUAUGCUAAACAGCCCCAAAUUAGUUUUUUUUGUGUAGCUCUCGGUUUAACGGAUUUUGACAUGAAAAUUUACACACGUGUACAGUAUGUCUCUUUGUAUAUGUGUACUUUUUAGAAUUUUUUCAAACUGAAAAGUUUGAUUUUUGUAGCUUUCAAAUUAAGUCCUCUGUGGAGCUCGGCCUUCAUUUGGGAUAUUUUUUUUUACUAGAGAGGAGUAGGGCAUUUUGGAGACUGAGCUCCAUGAAGCCCUUAAAUCCUUAAUUUUGACGCACUUCACGUCAAUGGCAGAGUGCUUGGAUGGGCCGGCCCACCACAGAGUGAUUUUUUUGCUCAGUUUUUUCUUCAAUUUUCAACUGGUUUUCCUCACAAAACUAGCUGCUAGACCUUUUACAUAGUUAAAAUAAAAAAUCCAAUAUGGAAAUGUUCAGAAAUUCUUUUAAAAAUACAAUUUUUAAAAUUAUUCAUAAUUCAUUUAUAAAAAAACAUGAAUUUUAAAAUAUACCCAUGGAGAACAACAAGAAUAAAAACUUUUAGUCUUCAGCAACGCCGCACCAAGCAUCAUCGAUACGAGGUUGGAGCUGGAGGACGUCUAUUCUAGAUUUAUAUUGUCUAUUUCCCGUGGAAAGAAAUUAAACAAUGAGAUUCACAAUCUUUUGCAUUUAUUAGAAAUUAGUAAUAAGAUCGGGUGAUUUUCUCGGAAUGUCUGGAAUCAUUCAGUUUAAAAAUUUGUAGAAUUAGUGUAAAAAAUACACUCAUCUUCACCGCAUUGACGAUUCCAGGAAACAAUUAAAAAUAAAAGGAAGAGGGGCAAUACCAUUAUACUAUUUUUCAUCCUCACGUGAAAACAUAUAAUGCACAAAUGUUGUUGAGGUGUUCUACAAAUUUCAGAAGUUCAAUGCACAAAGGAGCGGGUUGGUUUGUACUUCACAGAGUCUAGAUGUUCCGAGGAUUCGAAUGUGUACCUCGAGUUGUUUCUUGAUACGUCUCCAACAUAUCUAUAAUUUUUGAUUGCUCCAUGUUAUAUUAUCUACUGUUUUAGGCAAUAUUGGGCUUUAUUUUCCACUUUUAUAUUAUUUUUGGGACUAAUCUAUUAACCGGAGGCCCAGCCCAGAUUUGCUGUUUUAUGCCUAUUUCAGUGUUUUGAAGAAAAAAAGAAAUAUCAGACGGAGUCGAAAUGGAACGAAAUCAACUAGAGAAGUUAUUUUUGGAAGGAAACACACAUGAUGGACUUGGACCCCACAUCAAGGAAGGAACGAGGUGCCCACGAGGGUGGGGCCGCCCCCCCUAGGGCGCGCCCCCUGUCUCGUGGGACCCUCGUGGCUCCCCUGACGUACCUCCUGCACCCAUAUAUACCUACGUAACCUAAAACUUCCAGAACACAAGAUAGAUCAGGAGUUCCGCCGCCAGAAGCCUCCCUAGCCACCAAAAGUCAAUCGGGACUCUGUUUCGGCAUCCUGCCGGAGGGGGGAUCCCUCACUGGUGGCCAUCUUCAUCAUCCCGGUGCUCUCCAUGACGAGGAGGGAGUUGUUGGGGAACGUAGCAGAAUUUUAAAAUUUUCUACGCAUCAUCAAGAUCAAUCUAUGAAGUCAUCUAGCAACGAGGGAAAGGAGAGUGCAUCUACAUACCCUUGUAGAUCGCACGCGGAAGCGUUCAAGAGAACGGGGUUGAUGGAGUCGUACUCGUCGUGAUCCAAAUCACCGAUGACCUAGCGCCGAGCGGACGGCACCUCCGCAUUCAACACACGUACGGUUGGGAAGACGUCUCCUCACAACUUGAUCCAGCAAGGGGGAAGGAGAGGUUGAUGAAGAUCCAGCAGCACGGCGGCGUGGUGGUGGAAGCAACGGUGAUCUCGGCAGGGCUUCGCCAAGCUCAGGGAGAGGGAGGAGUGUCACGGGAGGGAGAGGGAGGCGCCAGGGGCUAGGGUGCGGCUUCCCUCCCUCACCCCCACUAUAUAUAGGACCCCUAGGGGGGCGCCGGCCCUAGGAGAUGCAAUCUCCAAGGGGGGCGCCGGCCAAGGGGGAUGGAGUCCCCCCAAGCCAAGUGGGGCGCCCCCCACCCCUAGGGUUUCCAACCCUAGGCGCAGGGGAAGGCCCAAGGGGGGCGCACCAGCCCACUAGGGGCUGGUUCCCCUCCCACUUUAGCCCAUGGGGCCCUCCGGGAUAGGUGGCCCCACCCGGUGGUCCCGGUAUAAUACUGAUUACCCCCGAAACCUUCCCUAUGGCCGAAACUUGACUUCCUAUAUAUAAAUCUUCACCUCCGGACCAUUCCGGAACUCCUCGUGACGUCCGGGAUCUCAUCCGGGACUCCGAACAACUUUCGGGUUACCGUAUACUAAUAUCUCAACAACCCUAGCGUCACCGAACCUUAAGUGUGUAGACCCUACGGGUUCGGGAGACACGCAGACAUGACCGAGACGACUCUCAGAUCAAUAACCAACAGCGGUAUCUGGAUACCCAUGUUGGCUCCCACAUGCUCCUCGAUGAUCUCAUCGGAUGAACCACGAUAUCGAGGAUUCAAUCAAUCCCGUAUACAAUUCCCUUUGUCAAUCGGUACGUUACUUGCCCGAGACUCGAUCGUCGGUAUCCCAAUACCUUGUUCAAUCUCGUUACCGGCAAGUCACUUUACUCGUACCGUAAUGCAUGAUCCCGUGAUCAACCACUUGGUCACAUUGAGCUCAUUAUGAUGAUGCAUUACCGAGUGGGCCCAGAGAUACCUCUCCGUCGUACGGAGUGACAAAUCCCAGUCUUGAUUCGUGCCAACCCAACAGACACUUUCGGAGAUACCCGUAGUGUACCUUUAUAGUCACCCAGUUACUUGUGACGUUUGGCACACCCAAAGCAAUCCUACGGUAUCCGGGAGUUGCACAAUCUCAUGGUCUAAGGAAAUGAUACUUGACAUUUGGAAAAGCUAUAGCAAACGAACUACACGAUCUUUAAGCUAUGCUUAGGAUUGGGUCUUGUCCAUCACAUCAUUCUCCUAAUGAUGUGAUCCCGUUAUGAAUGACAUCCAAUGUCCAUAGUCAGGAAACCAUGACUAUCUUUUGAUCAACGGGCUAGUCAACUAGAGGCUCACUAGGGACGCGUUGUAGUAUAUGUAUUCACACAUGUAUUACGAUUCCCGGAUAACACAAUUAUAGCAUGAACAAUAGACAAUUAUCAUGAACAAAGAAAUAUAAUAAUAACCAUUUUAUUAUUGCCUCUAGGGCAUAUUUCCAACAGUCUCCCACUUGCACUAGAGUCAAUAGUCUAGUUACAUUGUGAUGAAUCAAACACCCAUGAAGUUCUGGUGUUGAUCAUGUUUUGCUCUAGGGAGAGGUUUAGUCAACGGAUCUGCCACAUUCAGGUCCGUAUGCACUUUACAAAUAUCUAUGUCUCCAUUUUGAACACUUUCAUGAAUGGAGUUGAAGCGACGCUUGAUAUGCCUGGUCUUCCUAUGAAACCUGGGCUCCUUGGCAAGGGCAAUAGCUCCAGUGUUGUCACAGAAGAGAGUCAUCGGGCCCGGCGCAUUGGGAAUGACUCCUAGGUCGGUAAUGAACUCCUUCACCCAGAUUGCUUCUUGUGCUGCCUCCGAGGCUGCCAUGUACUCCGCUUCACAUGUAGAUCCCGCCACAACGCUUUGCUUGCAACUGCACCAGCUUACUGCCCCGCCAUUCAAAAUAUAUACGUAUCCAGUUUGUGACUUAGAGUCAUCCAGAUCUGUGUCGAAGCUAGCAUCGACGUAACCCUUUACGACAAGCUCUUCGUCACCUCCAUAAACUAGAAACAUAUCCUCAGUCCUCUUCAGGUACUUCAGGAUAUUAUUGACCAUUGUCCAGUGUUCCAUGCCGGGAUUACUUUGGUACCUUCCUACCAAACUUACGGCAAGGUUUACAUCAGGUCUGGUACACAACAUAGCAUACAUGAUAGACCCUAUGGCUGAGGCAUAGGGGACGACACUCAUCUUUUCUCUAUCUUCUAUCGUGGUCGGGCAUUGAGCUGUGCUCAAUCUCGUACCUUGCAAUACAGGCAAGAACCCCUUCUUUGACUGAUCCAUAUUGAACUUCUUCAAUAUCUUGUCAAGGUAUGUACUCUGUGAAAGACCAAUGAGGCAUCUCGAUCUAUCUCUAUAGAUCUUGAUGCCUAAUAUAUAAGCAGCUUCUCCAAGAUCCUUCAUUGAAAAACACUUGUUCAAGUAGGCCUUUAUGCUUUCCAAGAAUUCUAUAUCAUUUCCCAUCAAUAGUAUUUCAUCCACAUACAAUAUGAGAAAUGCUACAGAGCUCCCACUCACUUUCUUGUAAAUGCAGGCUUCUCCAUAAGACUGUGUAAACCCAAAUGCUUUGAUCGUCUCAUCAAAAUGAAUGUUCCAACUCCAAGAUGCUUGCACCAGCCCGUAGAUCGAGCGUUGGAGCUUGCACAUCUUGCCAGCAUUCUUAGGAUCGACAAAAUCUACCGGCUGCAUCAUAUACAAUUCUUCCUUAAGGAAACCAUUAAGGAAUGCCGUUUUGACAUCCAUUUUGCCAUAUCUCAUAAUCAUAGAAUGCGGCAAUUGCUAACAUGAUUCAGAUAGACUUCAGCUUCGCUACGGGUGAGAAAGUCUCAUCGUAGUCAACCCCUUGAACUUAUCGAUAACCCUUAGCGACAAGCCGAGCUUUAUAGAUGGUUACAUUACCAUCUGUGUCUGUCUUCUUCUUAAAGAUCCAUUUAUUUUCUAUGGCUCACCGAUCAUCGGGCAAGUCAGUCAAAGUCCAUACUUUGUUUUCAUACAUGGAUCCUAUCUUGGAUUUCAUGGCUUCCAGCCAUUUGUCGGAAUCCGGGCCUGCCAUCGCUUCUUCAUAGUUCGAAGGUUCACCGUUGUCUAACAACAUGAUUUCCAAGACAGGGUUGCCGUACCACUCUGGUGCGGAACGUGUCCUUGUGGACCUAUGAAGUUCAGUAGCAACUUGAUCUGAAGUUUCAUGAUCAUCAUCAUUAACUUCCUCUCUAGUCAGUGCAGGAACCUCAGGAACAAUUUCCUGAGCUGCGCCACUCUCCGGUUCAAGAGGUAAUACUUCAUCAAGUUCUACUUUCCUCCCACUUAUUUCUUUCGAGAGAAACUCUUUCUCUAGAAAGGAUCCAUUCUUGGCAACAAAGAUCUUGCCUUCGGAUCUGAGGUAGAAGGUAUGCCCAAUAGUUUCUUUAAGGUAUCCUAUGAAGACACAUUUUUCCGACUUGGGUUCGAGCUUUUCAGGUUGAAGUUUCUUGACAUAAGCAUCGCAUCCCCAAACUUUUAGAAACGACAACUUAGGUUUCUUCCCAAACCAUAAUUCAUACGGUGUCGUCUCAACGGAUUUCGACGGAGCCCUAUUUAAAGUGAAUGCGGCAGUCUCUAAAGCAUAGCCCCAAAAUGACAACGGUAAAUCGGUAAGAGACAUCAUAGAUUGCACCAUAUCCAAUAGAGUGCGAUUACGACGUUCGUACACACCAUUACGCUGAGGUGUUCCAGGCGGCGUGAGUUGUGAAACUCUUCCACAUUUCCUUAAGUGUGUGCCAAAUUCGUGACUCAAGUAUUCUCCCCCACGAUCUGAUCGCAAGAACUUGAUUUCUCUGUCACGUUGAUUCUCAACCUCACUCUGAAAUUCCUUGAACUUUUCAAAGGUCUCAAACUUGUGUUUCAUUAAGUAGACAUACCCAUAUCUACUCAAGUCAUCAGUGAGGGUGAGAACAUAAAGAUAGCCACCGCGAGCCUCAACACUCAUUGGACCACACACAUUAGUAUGUAUGAUUUCCAAUAAGUUGGUUGCUCGCUCCAUUGUUCCUGAGAACGGAGUCUUGGUCAUUUUACCCAUGAGGCAUGGUUUGUACGUGUCAAAUGAUUCAUAAUCAAGAGACUCCAAAAGCCCAUCUGCAUGGAGCUUCUUCAUGCGUUUGACACCUAUGUGACCAAGGCGGCAGUGCCACAAGUAUGUGGGACUAUCAUUAUCAACCUUACAUCUUUUGGUAUUCACAAUAUGAAUAUGUGUAACAUUACGCUCGAGAUUCAUUAAGAAUAAACCAUUCACCAGCGGAGCAUGACCAUAAAACAUAUCUCUCGUAUAAAUAGAACAAACAUUAUUCUCGAAUUUAAAUGAGUAUCCAUAUCAAAUUAAACGAGAUCCUGAUACAAUGUUCAUGCUCAAAGCUGGCACUAAAUAACAAUUAUUGAGGUUUAAAACUAAUCCCGUAGGUAAAUGUAGAGGCAGCGUGCCGACGGCGAUCACAUCGACCUUGGAACCAUUCCCGACGCGCAUCGUCACCUCAUCCUUCGCCAGUCUCCGCUUAUUCCGCAGCUCCUGCUUUGAGUUACAAAUGUGAGCAACCGCACCGGUAUCAAAUACCCAGGAGCUACUACGAGUACUGGUAAGGUACACAUCAAUUACAUGUAUAUCACAUAUACCUUUAGUGUUGUCGGCCUUCUUGUCCGCUAAGUAUUUCGGCCAGUUCCGCUUCCAGUGACCACUUCCCUUGUAAUAAAAACACUCAGUCUCGGGCUUGGGUCCAUUCUUUGGCUUCUUCCCGGCAUCUUACUUACCGGGCGCGGCAACCCCCUUGCCAUCCUUCUUAAAGUUCUUCUUACCCUUGCCUUUCUUGAACUUAGUGGUUUUAUUCACCAUCAACACUUGAUGUUCCUUUUUGAUUUCCACCUCUGCUGAUUUCAACAUUGAAUAUACCUCAGGAAUGGUCUUUUCCAUCCCCUGCAUAUUGAAGUUCAUCACAAAGCUCUUGUAGCUCGGUGGAAGCGACUGAAGGAUUCUGUCAAUGACCGCGUCAUCCGGGAGAUUAACUCCCAGCUGAGUCAAGCGGUUAUGCAACCUAGACAUUUUGAGUAUGUGCUCACUGACAGAACUAUUUUCCUCCAUCUUACAACUGAAGAACUUGUCGGAGACUUCAUAUCUCUCGACCCGGGCAUGAGCUUGGAAAACCAUUUUCAGCUCUUCGAACAUCUCAUAUGCUCCGUGUCUCUCAAAACGCUUUUGGAGGCCCGGUUCUAAGCUGUAAAGCAUGCCGCACUGAACGAGGGAGUAAUCAUCAGCAGGUGACUGCCAAGCGUUCAUAACAUCUUGGUUCUCUAGGAUGUGCGCGUCACCUAGCGGUGCUUCUAGGACAUAAUCUUUCUUGGCAGCUAUGAGGAUGAUCCUCAGGUUCCGGACCCAGUCCGUAUAGUUGCUGCCAUCAUCUUUCAGCUUGGUUUUUUCUAGGAACGCGUUGAAGUUGAGGGCAACAUUAGUGUGGGCCAUUUGAUCUACAAGACAUAGUGUAAAGAUUUUAGACUAAGUUCAUGAUAAUUAAGUUCAUCUAAUCAAAUUAUUCAAUGAACUCCCACUCAGAUAGACAUCCCUCUAGUCAUCUAAGUGAAACAUGAUCCGAGUCAACUAGGCCGUGUCCGAUCAUCACGUGAGACGGACUAGUCAACAUCGGUGAACAUCUUCAUGUUGAUCGUAUCUUCUAUAUGACUCAUGCUCGACCUUUCAGUCUUCCGUGUUCCGAGGCCAUGUCUGUACAUGCUAGGCUCGUCAAGUCAACCUAAGUGUAUUGCGUGUGUAAAUCUGGCUUACACCUGUUGUAUUCGAACGUUAGAAUCUAUCACACCCGAUCAUCACGUGGUGCUUAGAAACAACGAACCUUUGCAACGGUGCACAGUUAGGGGGAACACUUUCUUAAAAUUAUUACGAGGGAUCAUCUUAUUUAAGCUACCGUCGUUCUAAGCAAAUAAGAUGUAAAACAUGAUAAACAUCACAUGCAAUCAAAUAGUGACAUGAUAUGGCCAAUAUCAUUUGCUCCUUUUGAUCUCCAUCUUCGGGGCUUCAUGAUCAUCGUUGUCACCGGCAUGACACCAUGAUCUCCAUCAUCGUGUCUUCUUGAAGUUGUCUCGUCAUCUAUUACUUCUACUACUAUGGCUAAUGCUUUAGCAAUAAAGUAAAGUAAUUACAUGACGCUUAUGUUGACACGCAGGUCAUAAAUAAAUAAAGACAACUCCUAUGGCUCCUGCCGGUUGUCAUACUCAUCGACAUGCAAGUCAUGAUACCUAUUACAAGAACAUGAUCAAUCUCAUACAUCACAUAUAUCAUUCAUCACAUCCUUUUGGCAUAUCACAUCACACAGCACAUGCUGCAAAAACAAGUUAGACGUCCUCUAAUUGUUGUUGCAAGUUUUUACGUGGCUGCUAUAGGUUUCUAGCAAGAACAUUUUUUACCUACGCCAAAACCACAACGUGAUAUGCCAAUUUAUAUUUACCCUUCAUAAGGACCCUUUUCAUCGAAUCUGAUCCGGCUAAAGUGGGAGAGACAGACACCCGCCAGCCACCUUAUGCAACUAGUGCAUGUCAAUCGGUGGAACCAGUCUCACGUAAGCGUACGUGUGAGGUCGGUCCGGGCCGCUUCAUCCCACGAUGCCGCCGAAUCAAGAUAAGACUAGUAACGGCAAGCAAAUUGACAAUAUCCACGCCCACAACUCCUUUGUGUUCUACUCGUGCAUAGAAACUACGCAUAGACCUAGCUCAUGAUGCCACUGUUGGGGAACGUAGCAGAAUUUUAAAAUUUUCUACGCAUCACCAAGAUCAAUCUAUGGAGUCAUCUAGCAACGAGGGAAAGGGGAGUGCAUCUACAUACCCUUGUAGAUCGUGCGCGGAAGCGUUCAAGAGAACGGGGUUGAUGGAGUCGUUCUCGUCGUGAUCGAAAUCACCGAUGACCUAGCGCCGAAUGGACGGCACCUCCGCAUUCAACACACGUACGGUUGGGAAGACGUCUCCUCCAACUUGAUCCAGCAAGGGGGAAGGAGAGGUUGAUGAAGAUCCAGCAGCACGACGGCGUGGUGGUGGAAGCAACGGUGAUCUCGGCAGGGCUUCGCCAAGCUCAGGGAGAGGGAGGAGUGUCACGGGAGGGAGAGGGAGGCGCCAGGGGCUAGGGUGCGGCUGCCCUCCCUCACCCCCACUAUAUAUAGGACCCAUAGGGAGGGCGCCGGCCCUAGGAGAUGCAAUCUCCAAGGGGGGCGGCGGCCAGGGGGGGUGGAGUGCCCCCCAAGCUAAGUGGGGCGCCCCUGCCCCUAGGGUUUCCAACCCUAGGCGCAGGGGAAGGCCCAAGGGGGGCGCACCAGCCCACUAGGGGCUGGUUCCCCUCCCACUUUAGCCCAUGGGGCCCUCCGGGAUAGGUGGCCCCACCCGAUGGACCCCCGGGACCCUUCCGGUGGUCCCGGUACAAUACCGAUUACCCCCGAAACCUUCCCGAUGGCCGAAACUUGACUUCCUAUAUAUAAAUCUUCACCUCCGGACCAUUCUGGAACUCCUCGUGACAUCCGGGAUCUCAUCCAGGACUCCAAACAACUUUUGGGUUAUCGUAUACUAAUAUCUCAACAACCCUAGCGUCACCGAACCUUAAGUGUGUAGACCCUACGGGUUCGGGAGACACGCAGACAUGACCGAGACGACUCUCCGGUCAAUAACCAACAGCGGGAUCUGGAUACCCAUGUUGGUUCUCACAUGCUCCUCGAUGAUCUCAUCGGAUGAACCACGAUAUAGAGGAUUCAAUCAAUCCCGUAUACAAUUCCCUUUGUCAAUCGGUACGUUACUUGCCCGAGACUCGAUCGUCGGUAUCCCAAUACCUUGUUCAAUCUCGUUACCGGCAAGUGACUUUACUCGUACCAUAAUGCAUGAUCCCGUGAUCAACCACUUGGUCACAUUGAGGUCAUUAUGAUGAUGCAUUACCCAGUGGGCCCAGAGAUACCUCUUCGUCAUACGGAGUGACAAAUCCCAGUCUCGAUUCGUGCCAACCCAACAGACACUUUCGGAGAUACCCGUAGUGUACCUUUAUAGUCACCCAGUUACGUUGUGACGUUUGGCACACCCAAAGCACUCCUACGGUAUCCGGGAGUUGCACAAUCUCAUGGUCUAAGGAAAUGAUAUUUGACAUUCGGAAAAGCUAUAGCAAACGAACUACACGAUCUUUAAGCUAUGCUUAGGAUUGGGUCUUGUCCAUCACAUCAUUCUCCUAAUGAUGUGAUCCCGUUAUCAAUGACAUCCAAUGUCCAUAGUCAGGAAACCAUGACUAUCUUUUGAUGAACGGGCUAGUCAACUAGAGGCUCACUAGGGACGUUUGUGGUCUAUGUAUUCACACAUGUAUUACGAUUUCCGGAUAACACAAUUAUAGCAUGAACAAUAGACAAUUAUCAUGAACAAAGAAAUAUAAUAAUAACCAUUUUAUUAUUGCCUCUAGGGCAUAUUUCCAACAGGAGUAGUUCUCCCUCGGGGCUGAGGGUAUGUACCAGUAGCUAUGUGUUUGAUCUCUCUCUCUCUCUCGUGUUCUUGAGACGAUACGAUCUUGAUGUAUCGCGAGCUUUGCUAUUAUAGUUGGAUCUUAUGUUUCUCCUCCCCCUCUUAUCUCUUGUAAUGAAUUGAGUUUCCUCUUUGAAGUAAUCUUAUCGGAUUGAGUCUUUAAAGACUUGAGAACACUUGACGUAUGCCUUGCCGUGGAUAUCUGUGGUGACAAUGGGAUACCACGUGCCACUUGAUGUAUGUUAAGGUGAUCAACUUGCGGGUUUCGUGACAUUGGGAACCUAUGCAUAGGGGUUGGCACAUGUUUUUGUCAUGAUUCUCCGGUAGAACUUUGGGGCACUCUAUGAGGUUCUAUGUGUUGGUUGAAUAGAUGAAUCUGAGAUUGUGUGAUGCAUAUCGUAUAAUCAUACCCAUGGAUACUUGAGGUGACAUUGGAGUAUCUAGGUGACAUUAGGGUUUUGGUUGAUUUGUGUCUUAAGGUGUUAUUCUAGUACGAACUCUAGGGCUGUUUGUGACACUUAUAGGAAUAGCCCACCGAAUUGAUUGGAAAGAAUAACUUUGAGGUGGUUUCGUACCCUACCAUAAUCUCUUCGUUUGUUCUCCGCUAUUAGUGAAUUUGGAGUGACUCUUUGUUGCAUGUUGAGGGAUAGUUAUGUGAUCCAAUUAUGUUAGUAUUGUUGAGGGAACUUACACUAGCGAAAGUAUGAACCCUAGGCCUUGUUUCCUAGCAUUGCAAUACCGUUUACACUCACUUUUAUCACUUGCUACCUUGCUGUUUUUAUUAUUUCAGAUUACAAAAUCUAUUAUCUACUAUCCAUAUACCACUUGUAUCACCAUCUCUUCGCCGAACUAGUGCACCUAUACAAUUUACCAUUGUAUUGGGUGUGUUGGGGGCACAAGAGACUCUUUGUUAUUUGGUUGCAGGGUUGCUUGAGAGAGACCAUCUUCAUCCUACUCCUCCUACGGAUUGAUAAACCUUAGGUCAUCCACUUGAGGGAAAUUUGCUACUGUCCUACAAACCUCUGCACUUGGAGGCCCAACAACGUCUACAAUAAGAAGGUUGUGUAGUAGACAUCAAGCUCUUUUCUGGCGCCAUUGCUGGGGAGGUGAGUGCUUGAAGGUAUAUCUUUAGAUCUUGCAAUCGAGUCUUUUAGUUUCUUGUUUUAUCACUAGUUUAGUUUAUAAAAGAAAAUUACAAAAAAAUGGAAUUAAGUUUGCCUCAUACGCUUCAUCUUUUUAAUAUCUUUCGUGAGUAUGAUGGAAAGGAUAAUUGUGCUCAAGUGCUAGAAGAAGAAAUCUAUAAAAUGUUUGGCACUAAAUAUUUGAAUGAUGAGCAUGAUUGCAAUGUUGUUAGUACGAAUUCUUUAAAUAUCCAUGAUGCUAAUGAUGAUUGCACUAGUUAUGAUGAAAAUGUCUCUUAUAAACAUCUCAAUUUUUGUGGAGUAGACUGGGUUUGCAAGUACACACCAAAUAGGGAAGGUAGAUAUUGCAAGAGGCAUAAGUACUUAGAAACCAAAUUGUUGCAAGAAGAGCUAGAUGAAUGUGCUGAAAAAUUCAAUAUUUUUCGUGCCCCUUGUGAACUUUGCAAUGAACAUGGUCAUUUAAAGCUCCAAUGCUAUUUGUUUCAUGAUCAAGUCGUGUCCAAACAUUGUGAUAAUUUGAUUACCCUUGAGCAUCAUAAAGAGCUUAGCCUUCUUUUGGAUUAUGAAGAAAUGAAACGUAUAACUGAGGGUAUUCCAAAGUUUAAUCUUGAUAAAGUUCUUCAUUUUGAUCUAGAAAAGAUUUAUAUGUAUUGUGCGGUGAAUUGCAUUGAAAAUCCUUAUAUUGCCAAUUACAUAAAGAAAAGAAAACAAAUAGAAGAUGAAGAGAAUACUAAUGAAAGGGAAGAGACUUCCCAAUACCCUCCUAUUAUUUCUUAUGAUGAAUCAGGUAACGAGGAAGAGCCUCCUAUUCAACCAAUCUCAUUAAUAAGGAGCUCCAAAAAGAGGAUUGAACCCACACAUGAUGUGGUGAAGAAGAAGAAAAGAAAAAGGAAGAGAGGUAAAAAGAUAUCUCUCCCAAAUAAAGUUGCUCCUAUUAUUGUUGUGCCUCAUGAAAAUGAAGAUGAUACACUUUAUGAUGAUCUCGUUAUGCCUAUUGCUUGUUGUGAUGAUUAUGAUUGGGAAGAUAAUGAUAAUUCUUAUGAUCUUGAAAAUAUUUUUGGUACUUGCUUGGAAGAAUAUGAUAAUAAUGUUUGCUAUACUAUUGGUGUUAUCCAUAUUAUUAAUGAUGAGAGUGAUUAUGCUUAUGAUAUGAAAAGGCCCAAGCUUAGGGAAGCUAUGUUUGAUGUGGAUGACAUAUUUGAGAAUAUAUUUGCUGCGAUUUAUGUUUGUCCCAAGCUUGGGGAUGCUAUGUUUAAUAAUGAUGAUAUUUUUAGCCUUCCAUGUUUUGAUAUGCAAAGUGAUUAUGAUGAGAACAAAGUUGCUACUUAUGAUGAUUAUUGUGAUAAAACUUAUGCUAUAAAGAGUAGUGAUGAUUAUAUUUAUAAAACUUGUCAUGAUUAUGAGUACCCUUUCUCUGAACAUUACUCCUUUAACGUGGAAACAAUUUAUAGUAUUUGAGUCUCUUAUGAUACUCCCACUAUUAUUCAUGAGAAGAAUCUUGCUUGUGUGGAGAGUAGUAAAAUUUCUAUGCUUGUAGAUCAUGAAAAGAAUGCUUUAGGUGCUGGUUAUAUUGUUGAAUUCAUUCAUGAUGCUACUGAAAAUUAUUAUGAGGGAGGAAUAUAUGCUUGUAGGAAUUGCAAUAAUAUCAAGUUUCCUCUCUAUGUGCUUAAAGUUUUGAAGUUAUGCUUGUUUUACCUUCCUAUGCAAGUUGAUUCUUGUCCCCACAAGUUGUUUGCUCACAAAAUCCCUAUGCAUAGGAAGUGGGUUAGGCUUAAAUGUGCUAGUCAUAUUUUUCAAGAUGCUCUCUUUAUGUUUCGAUUCUUAUCUUUUAUGUGAGCAUCAUUGAAAUCAUCAUGCCUAGCUAGGGGCAUUAAACGAUAGCGCUUGUUGGGAGGCAACCCAAUUUAAUUUUUGUUCCUUGCUUUUGUUCCUGUUUUAGUAAUAAAUAAUUCAUCUAGCCUCUUUUUAGAUUUAGUUUUAUGUGUUUAAUUAGUGUUUGUUCCAAGUAGAACCUUUUGUAAGACUUGGGGAAAGUCUUGUUGAUCAUGCUGUCAAAGACAAAAACUUCAGCGCUCACGAGAACUGCUGCCAUUUUUAUUUGGAGAGUGCUAUUUAGUUAGUUCUUUUUGAAGAUCAUUAAUAGAUAAAUUCCUCAGGUCCAGCAAUUUAUUUGAGAAUUUUAUGAGUUCCAGAAAUAUACUUUGAUCUAGAUUACUACAGACUGUUCUGUUUUUGACAGAUUCUGUUUUUCAUGUGUUGUUUACUUAUUUUGAUGAAUCUAUGGCUAGUAAAAUAGUUUAUAAACCAUAGAGAAGUUGGAAUACAGUAGGUUUAACACCAAUAUAAAUAAAUAAUGAGUUCAUUACAGUACCUUGAAGUGGUGAUUUAUUUUCUUAUACUAACGGAGCUUACGAGUUUUCUGUUAAGUUUUGUGUUGUGAAGUUUUCAAGUUUUGGGUAAAGAUUCGAUGGACUAUGGAAUAAGGAGUGGAAAGAGCCUAAGAUUGGGUAUGCCCAAGUCACCCCAAGGUAAUAUUCAAGGAUAGCCAAGAGCCUAAGCUUGGGGAUGCCCCGGAAGGCACCCCCUCUUUCGUCUUCGUUCAUCGGUAACUUUACUUGGGGCUAUAUUUUUAUUCACCACAUGAUAUGUGUUUUGCUUGGAGAGUCAAUUUAUUUUGUUAGGAUUUGCUUGCUGUUAUUUAGAAAAAUGUUUUGCAUCUUUUAUUUCAAUAAAAGUGGCAUUGAUAGCCUUUACUAUGCCUAUGUUACAAGUAUACAUGUUGCUGUUUGAAAACAGAAAGUUUACCGCUGUUGCAAUAAUUCCCUAGAAAAUUCAGAAUGUGAUAAAAUGUUGAAACCUUUUGCAUAUUAAGCUAUGAUAAAUUUACUACAUUGGGAAUUUUAUGUCAUAAUUUUUGAAUCUAGGGAAGUAUGGAUGUUGCAGCAUUCUUUACAGACUAUCCUGUUUAGGCAGAUUACUGUUAUGUUUGCGUUGUUUGCAUAUGUUUGCUUGUUUAAUGAUUCUAUUUGAGGAUAGGACUAUUAUGCAGAGGCAUUUAGUAUGCAAUGUAGAAUAAUAAUUUUAGUGAUUUGCUACAGUAGAGUAUUUUAAGGUUUUUGCAAUGGUUUAUACUAACUUAUCUCACGAGUCCUUGUUGAGUUUUGUGUGGAUGAAGCUUUUGAGAUUUAGGGAGACCAUGAUAUGAGAGGAAUUAAGGAGACACAAAAGCUCAAUCUUGGGGAUGCCCAAGGCACCACAAGAUAAUAUUUCAAGAAGUCUCAAGCGUCUAAGCUUGGGGAUGCCCCGAUUGGCAUUCCACCUUUCUUCUUCAACAACUAUCAGUUAGUAUCGGUUGAUCCUAAGUUUUUGCUUCUUCACAUGAUGUUUGCCAUUCUUAGAAUGUCAUUUUGUUUUGCUUUGCUUGCUGUUUGAAUAAAAUACCAAGAUCUGAAAUUAUUAAAUGUUAGAGAGUCUUCACAUAGUUGAUAAUUAUUCAACUACUCAUUGAUCUUCACUUAUAUCCUUCGGAGUAGUUUGUCAUUUGCUCUAGUGCUUCACUUAUAUCUCUUAGAGCAUGGUGGUAGUUUUAUUUUGAAGAAAUAGAUGAACUCUCAUGCUUCACUUAUAUUAUUUUGAGAGUCUUAAAUAGCAUGGUAAUUUGCUUAAAAUCCUAAUAUGCUAGGUAUUCAAGAAUAAUAAAAAUUCUCUUAUGAGUGUGUUGAAUACUAGGAGAAGUUUGAUACUUUAUAAUUGUUUUGAGAUAUGGAGAUGGUGAUAUUAGAGUCAUGCUAGUUGGGUAGUUGUGAAUUUGAGAAAUACUUGUGUUGAAGUUUAUGAUUCCCAUAGCAUGCACGUAUGGUGAACCGUUAUGUGACGAAGUCAGAGCAUGAUUUAUUUAUUGAUUGUCUUCCUUAUGAGUGGCGGUCGGGGACGAGCGAUGGUCUUUUCCUACCAAUCUAUCCCCCUAGGAGCAUGCGCGUAAUACUUUGCUUUGAUAACUUCUAGAUUUUUGCAAUAAGUAUAUGAGUUCUUUAUGACUAAUGUUGAGUCCAUGGAUUAUACGCACUCUCACCUUUGCUAGCCUCGCUAAUACCGCGUACCUUUCGCCGGUAUCAUACAUCUAUCAUAUACCUUCCUCAAAACAGCCACCAUAACUACCUAUUAUGGCAUUUCCAUAGCCAUUCCGAGAUAUAUUGCCAUGCAACUUUCCACCAUCUAGUUCAUCGUGACACAUUCAUUAUUGUCAUAUUGCUUAGCAUGAUCAUGUAGUUGACAUAGUAUUUGUGGCAAAGCCACUGUUCAUAAUUCUUUCAUACUUGUCACUCUUGAUUCAUUGCAUAUCCCGGUACACCGCCGGAGGCAUUCAUAUAGAGUCAUACUUUGUUCUAGUAUCGAGUUGUAUCAUUGAGUUGUAAAUAAAUAGAAGUGUGAUGAUCAUCAUUCAAUAGAGCAUUGUCCCAAAAAAAGAGAAAGGCCAUAAAAAAGGGCCAAAAUAAAAAAAUAAAAAAAUAAAAGGGGCAAUGCUACUAUUCCUUUUUCCACACUUGUGCUUCAAAGUAGCAUCAUGAUAUAGCGAGUCUCAUAUAUUGUGCUUCAAAAUAGCACCAUGUUCUUCAUAUAGAGAGUCUCAUAUGUUGUCACUUUCAUAUACUAGUGGGAAUCUUCCAAUGAUGGGCUUCCUCAAAAUGCCCUAGGUCUUCAUGAGCAAGCAAGUUGGAUGCACACCCACUAGUUUUUUUUGUUGAGUUUUCAUACAUUUAUAGCUCUAGUGCAUCCGUUGCAUGACAAUUCCUACUAACUCACAUUGAUAUCUAUUGAUGGGCAUCUCCAUAGCCCGUUGAUACGCCUAGUUGAUGUGAGACUAUCUUCUCCCUUUUUGUCUUCUCCACAACCACCAUUCUAUUUCACCUAUAGUGCUAUGUCCAUGGCUCACGCUCAUGUAUUGCAUGAAGAUUGAAAAAGUUUGAGAAUAUCAAAAGUAUGAAACAAUUGCUUGGUUUGUCAUCGGGGGUGUGCAUGAUUUAAAUAUUUUGUGUGGUGAAGAUGGAGCAUAGCCAGACUAUAUAAUUUUGUAGGGAUAACUUUCUUUGGCCAUGAUAUUUUGAGAAGACAUAACGAAAAUCCAAAUCUGAGCCCGAGCUCAUCUGCACCUGCGCUCACCAAAAAAAUCAAAAUAAAUACUAAAAGAAUUCAAAAAAUUCCGAAAAAAAUUGGGGUGGUGGACAAUUUGAUGCGUGAGGUGCGCCCUAAUUUUCAAAACAUUUGGACUUAUGUGCAGCUCUCAGCAAAAAAGACAAAUCGGAGGUCUGUAAAAAUGUGUACUGUUCAUAUACUGUUUUGGUCUGAUUUGUCUUUUUUGCUGAGAGCUGCACAUAAGUCCAAAUGUUUUGAAAAUUGGGGCGCACCUCACGCAUCAAAUUGUCCACCACCUCAAUUUUUUUUAGGAAUUUUUUGAAUUUUUCUGAAAUUUUUACGGUUUUUUUUGAACGGGUGCAGAUGCACCCGGGCACCGAAACGCCGCACUCAAGACAUAAUUGCUUUAUUAGUAUGCUUAAAGUAUUAUUAUUUUUAUGUCAAUAUGAACUUUUGUCUCGAAUCUUUCGGAUCUGAAUAUGCAUAUCACAAGUAAUAAGAAUUACAUGAAAAUUAUGCCAACUAGCAUUCAACUUCAAAAAUUAUCUUUUUAUCAUUUACCUACUCGAGGACGAGCAGGAAUUAAGCUUGAGGAUGCUUGAUACGUCUCCAACGUAUCUAUAAUUUUUGAUUGCUCCAUGCUAUAUUAUCUACUGUUUUAGGCAAUAUUGGGCUUUAUUUUCCACUUUUAUAUUAUUUUUGGGACUAACCUAUUAACCGGAGGCCCAGCCCAGAUUUGCUGUUUUAUGCCUAUUUCAGUGUUUUGAAGAAAAGGAAUAUCAGACGGAGUCGAAACGGAACGAAAUCAACUGGAGAAGUUAUUUUUGGAAGGAAACACACCUGAUGGACUUGGACCCCACGUCAAGGAAGGAACGAGGUGCUCACGAGGGUGGGGGCGCGCCCCUGUCUCGUGGGACCCUCGUGGCUCCCCUGACGUACCUCCUGCACCCAUAUAUGCCUACGUGACCUAAAACUUCCAGAACACAAGAUAGAUCGGGAGUUCCGCCGCUAGAAGCCUCUGUAGCCACCAAAAGUCAAUCGGGACCCUGUUCCGGCACCCUGCCGGAGGGGGGAUCCCUCACCGGUGGCCAUCUUCAUCAUCCCGGUGCUCUCCAUGACGAGGAGGGAGUAGUUCUCCCUCGGGGCUGAGGGUAUGUACCAGUAGCUAUGUGUUUGAUCUCUCUCUCUCUCGUGUUACUGUCCUACAAACCUCUGCACUUGGAGGCCCAACAAUGUCUACAAGAAGAAGGUUGUGUAGUAGACAUCAUUUCUCAAGCAGCCAUCUCUAUGGUCGAAGAGGGUCGUUUAACUCCAUGUAAGCAUUGCAUGCCCAAAAUACGUUAGCAACUCACGGCAAAACACAUAGACGCUAUCCUCUGACAUUGUGGCCGGACUCUUUCCUAGUUUUAUUUUCAAAUUUUGUGCACCUCUCAGUUUAAUGUAUUUUGACCUGAAAAUUUUCACACAUGUACAGUAUGUCUCGUGAUAUAUGUGUAUCUUUUAGAAAUUUCCCAAAUUGAAAAGUUUGAGUUUUAAACUUGUCAAAUUAAGUCCUUUGUGGAGCUCAGCCUCCAUUUGGAAUUGUUUACUAGAGCAUUUUGGAGACUGAGCUCCAUGGAGCCCUUAAAUCCUUAAUUUUGACGCACUUCCCGUCAAUGGCAGGGGUGAUGCACAGAGUGCUUGGAUGGGCCGGCUCACCAUAGAGUGAUUUUUUGCUCAGUUUUUUCUUCAAUUUUCAACAGGUUUUCCUCACAAAACUAGCUGUUGGACCUUUUACAUAUUAAAAAUAAAAUUCCGAUAUGAAAAUCUUCAGAAAUUUUAAAAAUGUUUGCAUUUUUUAAAUAUUCAUAAUUCAUUUCUAAAAAAUCAUGAACUUUAACAAUAUCCAUGGAGAACAACGGGAAUCAAAACUUUUAGUCUUCAGCGACGCCGCACCAAGCAUCAUCGAUACGAGUUUGGAGCCGGAGGACGUCUAUUCGAGAUUCAUUUCCUGCCCUUAUAUUGUCUAUUUCCCGCGGAAAGAAAUUAAACAAUGAUAUUCGCAAUCUUUUGUAUGUAUUAGUCAUUAGUAAUAAGAUCAAGGUGAUUUUCUCGGAAAUCAAGAAUUAUUCAGUUUAAAAAAUUGUAGAAUUAGUGUAAAAAACACUCGUCAUCACCACAUUGACGAUUCCAGGAAACAAUUAAAAAUAAAAAGAAGAGGGACAAUAGCAUUAUACCAUUUUUCAUCCUAACAUGAAAACAUAUAAUGCACAAAGGUUGUUGAGGUGUUCUACAAAUUUCAGAAGUUCAAUGCACAAAGGAGCGGCUUGGUUUGUACUUCACAGAGCAAUUGGCUAGAUGUUCCGAGGAUUCGAAUUUGUACCUCGAGUUGUUUCUCAAACAGCCAUCUCUGUGGUCGAAGAGGGUCGUUUAACUCCGUGUAAGCAUUGCAUGACCAAAAUACGUUAGCAGCUCACGACAAAACACAUAGACGCUAUCCUUUGACGCUGUGGUCGGGCUCUUCCCUAGUUUUAUUUUCAAAUUUUGAGCUGACCAUGGAAGUGUUAGAGCAUCUCCACCCAGCCCCUCAAGAUGCCCCUCCCAUAGGCUUUUUUUAACGCCGACAGUGGAAAAUUACCCCAAUCAUGCCCCUAGUUUUUUUAACUUAGCAGCUCACGGCAAAACACAUAGACGCUAUCCUCUGACGCUGCGGCCGGACUCUUCCCUAGUUUUAUUUUCAAAUUUUGAGCUGACGAUGUAAGUGUUAGAGCAUCUCCACCCAGCCGCCAGGAUGCCCCUCUCAUAGGCUUUUUUUAGCGCCGACAGUGGAAAAUUACCCCAAUCACGCCCCCACUAUCUUGUUUUGCGCCGGAUUUGGCCAAAAUAACAUCCGCCGAUCCCAACCCAAAACCAGGGAGGGGUCCACCGACGCUAUUAUUUGCAUGCAACAAGCCCACUGUCAGCCUCUCACUCCCUCUCACCCACUUCAUCUCUUUUUCCUCUCAUCUCUCUUGUCUUCUAGUGUUGGGGGAGGGCAUAUGACCCCCCGGGCCAAUUUUUUCGUUUGCAUGACCUAAACUGGCUGAAAAAAUGGCUCCUGGGGAGACAAACGAAUGGAGAUACUCUUAUGUAUUCGAGAGUAAUAGUAUAAAGCUAGCCACCACGGCUUUUUAAUAGAAAAAAGGACCACAUAGAUGGUAUACACCACUUUGCAUACCGCACUAGUGGUUGGGGCGCACCUUUGGUGCGCCGCUUGAGCGGAAGCUCUCCGGAGCCGGCCAUGUAGGUGCCGACCAUUUCGAUUUCUUUUUUUUGGGUGUGUUUGGCACAUAGCUGGCCUCCAACAAAAUGGACGAGCUUAACUACAAUCAGUAGCAUCAGUAGCAAUUAAUAAGGCUUGUAAUGUUCCACUUGCUAUUAUCUCCAAUGGCGUGACGUCAAACUUCAUUAAAAUACAGAGAAGAUUUUACAGGAUAAGUUAUAAGAGAACAUGAAUUUAGAGGGUCAAUUUUCAAGAAAACAAUGAUGCAACUCUAUACAUAGCCUCAGAGAUCAUGAUGAUUACACUACCCACAUAAUACACUCUCACCAGGGAGAAAACAACAGGAACAUGAUUCAAAACAAGAAAGGCAGCUUGCAGCUCUCCAGGAUACCUCAUCAAUAAUAUAGCCUCAAACUCCAGUAAAAUUCUAUUCUGUCAAAGAUCCUGGCAUUGUUCUUUCCAAAAAAUCAUCUGUCCACUGAUGUUGUUUUCAGACAGCUCCCUAUGACGAUGCGAAGAUCCAUCGUUAUGCGGGAUUUUUUGUGUAAUUUCACAAGUUUGCACUCGGUACCAAGAUGCAGUAGUACUUAUAGGUUGCAAAUGGAAUGACGUGCCGCACAAAGCAUUAACUCGAAAGUACCUGAACAACAAAAUCACGCCUUCCACAAUCCAGGAACAUGUCUACAGUCCAAUUAACUCCUGAUCUUAUUUAGUUGUCAAAAAGAACUCUUGAUCUUAUUUUAUCCCUCGCUGCGCUAAAGCUUAGCUGAUCUCUUGAGGUGGAACGAUCAACUUCAUUGAACCAAAGGCAUGUGAAUAGAUUGGUGAUGGGUAUGUGCUCUCCUAUAAUUACACAGCCCUCGGGGACAUCUGUUCAAGAAAAAUGUAUCGCUUAUGUUCUCAGGAGAAAUAUUUCUAUAUCAGAAUUCAGCGAGAAGAACCAUUACCGCUUGUAAUAAGGAACUUAGCUGAUGAAUAAUGGGUUAAACCCUCUCUCUUGUAGAACUCUAUUUGGUUAUCGAUUGAAGCAUUAUCAUACUUCCCACCAGCCUUGUUGGCCUCAGCUUCCUCAAGGACAUCAAAGAGUCUAUAAUGCCUGGAAAUAGCGAAGCGCACAUUUUUCCUCCACAAGAAUCUGCGGCAUGACAAUGUAUACAAAAUCAAAAUAAUAAGAAGUCAAAAUCUAGAUAAGAGUAGACUUAACAUUAAAGUGAGAAUAUGGUGCAGCUUGAAUCUCUUAAUACAACAGAUAGAGCAUAAGUGGCACUGGCAACAAGCAAACUUACUUUUUGACGGCAUGCUUUCAUUGAGUUGUGUGCAAAGUAGUUUAUAAGUAGCAGACGGAGGUCAGUGAGAGAACGUGAUGUUUACCUCUCUAACAACUGAUAAGGAUCCUUCACAAGUUUAAGUUUCCCAUCGAUCCAGAGUGAAUACCGCACAUCAGGAAAGAGUCGAUGAAGUAAUAGUUUUGGAACCUGUUUGAGGAAAAUAUCACAAGGUAUUCAGUUAAAAAAUUAUCACAAGGAAAAUACACGAUUAGGAAAACAAUUCGCUCAUGCUGAUUCGCAUUAAGCAUGGCAUACUCUUGCCUUUCAACAGAACAGAAAAUUGAUUGUGGAGUCGAGAAACUUUUCACAUACUGACCCAAUGCAGAAAAGAAUGAAAACAUGUUGGAUCAGUUAUCUAGAUAAGAGCACAUGUUGCUUUUAGAAGAUUGUGUAGAAUUAUCGUUACAACUACUCCCUCUGUCCCAGAAUAUAAGAACGUUUUUGACACUAUCAAUAGUGUCAAAAACGUUCUUAUAUUUUGGGACGGAGGAAGUAACUUUUAGUUUACAUCGCUUGUGCACAAUCUCCAUGCCAGAAGUGUUGGAAAUAUGCCCUAGAGGCAAUAAUAAAAUGGUUAUUAUUAUAUUUCUUUGUUCAUGAUAAUUGUCUAUUGUUCAUGCUAUAAUUGUGUUACCUAGUGAGCCUCUAGUUGACUAGCUCGUUGAUCAAAAAAUAGUCAUGGUUUCCUGACUAUGGACAUUGGAUGUCAUUGAUAACGGGAUCACAUCAUUAGGAGAAUGAUGUGAUGGACAAGACCCAAUCCUAAGCUUAGCUCAAAGAUCGUGUAGUUCGUUUGCUGUAGCUUUUCUGAAUGUCAAGUAUCAUUUCCUUAGACCAUGAGAUUGUGCAACUCCCGGAUACCGUAGGAGUGCCUUGGGUGUGCCAAACGUCAAAACGUAACUAGGUGACUAUAAAGGUACAUUACAGGUAUCUCCGAAAGUGUCUGUUGGGUUGGCACGAAUCGAGACUAGGAUUUGUCACUCCGUAUGACGGCGAGGUAUCUCUGGGCCCACUCGGUAAUGCAUCAUCAUAAUGAGCUCAAUGUGAUCAAGUGGUUGAUCACGGGAUCAUGCAUUACGGUACGAGUAAAGUGACUUGCCGGUAACGAGACCGAACAAGGUAUUGGGAUACCGACGAUCGAGUCCCGGGAAAGUAACGUACCGAUUAACAAAGAGAAUUGUAUACGGAUUGAUUGAAUCCUCGACAUCGUGGUUCAUCCGAUGAGAUCAUCGUGGAGCAUGUGGGAGCCAACAUGGGUAUCCAGAUCCCGCUGUUGGUUAUUGACCGGAGAGGCUUCUCGGUCAUGUUUGCAUGUCUCCCGAACCCGUAGGGUCUACACACUUAAGGUUCGGUGACACUAGGGUUGUAGAGAUAUUAGCGCACGCUAACCCUUCGGAGUCCCGGAUGAGAUCCCGGACGUCACGAGGAGUUCCGGAAUGGUCCAGAGGUAAAGAUUCAUAUAUAGGAAGUCCAGUUUCGGUCAUCGGGAAAGUUUCGGGGGUCACCGGUAUUGUACUGGCACCACCGGAAGGGUUCCGGGGGUCCACCGGGUGGGGCCACCUAUCCCAGAGGGCCCCAUGGGCUGAAGUGGGAGGGAACCAGCCCCUAGUGGGCUGGUGCGUCCCCCUUGGGCCUCCCCCUGCGCCUAGGGUUAGGGGUGGGGGCGCCACCCUUGCCUUGGGGGGCAAGGCACCCCCUUGGCCGCCGCCCCCCCUAGGAGAUUGGAUCUCCUAGGGCCAGCGCCCCCCCUAGGCACCCUAUAUAUAGUGGGGGGGAGGGAGGGCUGCGCACCCAAGCCCCUGGCCUCUCCCUCUCCCUCCCGUGACACUCCUCCAUCUCCCUUGCGCUUGGCGAAGCCCUGCCGAGAUCACCGUUGCUUCCACCACCACGCCGUCGUGCUGCUGGAUCUUCAUCAACCUCUCCUUCCCCCUUGCUGGAUCAAGUUGGAGGAGACGUCUUCCCAACCGUACGUGUGUUGGACGCGGAGGUGCUGUCCGUUCGGCACUUGGUCAUCGGUGAUUUGAAUCACGUCGAGUACGACUCCAUCAACCCCGUUCUCUUGAACUCUUCCGCUCGUGAUCUACAAGGGUAUGUAGAUGCACUCCUCUUUCCCUCGUUGAUAGAUGACUCCAUAGAUUGAUCUUGGUGAUGCGUAGAAAAUUUUAAAAUUCUGCUACGUUCCCCAACAGUGGCAUCAUGAGCUAGGUCUAUGCGUAGUUACUAUGCACGAGUAGAACACAAAGUAGUUGUGGGCGUCGAUAUUGUCAAUUAUCUUACCGUUACUAGUCUUAUCUUGAUUCGGCGACAUCGUGGGAUGAAGCGGCCCGGACCAACCUUACAUGUACGCUUACGUGAGACCGGUUACACCGACUGACAUGCACUAGUUGCAUAAGGUGGCUGGCGGGUGUCUGUCUCUCCCACUUUAGUCGGUUCGGAUUCGAUGAACAGGGUCCUUAUGAAGGGUAAAUAGAAAUUGGCAAUUCACGUUGUGGUUUUGGCGUAGGUAAGAAACGUUCUUGCUAGAAACCUAUAGCAGCCACGUAAAAACUUGCAACAACAAUUAGAGGACGUCUAACUUGUUUUUGCAGCAAGUGUUUUGUGAUGUGAUAUGGCCAAAGGAUGUGAUGAAUGAUAUAUGUGAUGUAUGAGAUGAUCAUGUUCUUGUAAUAGGAAUCACGACUUGCAUGUCGAUGAGUAUGACAACCGGCAGGAGCCAUAGGAGUUGUCUUUAUUUAUUUAUGACCUGCGUGUCAACAUAAACGUCAUGUAAUUACUUUACUUUAUUGCUAAAGCGUUAGCCAUAGUAGUAGAAGUAAUAGAUGACGAGACAACUUCAAGAAGACACGAUGAUGGAGAUCAUGAUGAUGGAGAUCAUGGUGUCAUGCCGGUGACAACGAUGAUCAUGGAGCCCCGAAGAUGGAGAUCAAAGGAGCAAAUGAUAUUGGCCAUAUCAUGUCACUACUUGAUUGCAUGUGAUGUUUAUCAUGUUUUACAUCUUAUUUGCUUAGAACGACGGUAGCUUAAAUAAGAUGAUCCCUCGAAAAAAUUUCAAGAAAGUGUUCCCCCUAACUGUGCACCAUUGCGAAGGUUCGUUGUUUUGAAGCACCACGUGAUGAUCGGGUGUGAUAGAUUCUAACGUUCGAAUACAAUGGGUGUAAGACAAAUUUACACACGCAAUACACUUAGGUUGACUUGACGAGCCUAGCAUGUACAGACAUGGCCUCGGAACACAGAAGAUACGAUCAACAUGAAGAUGUUCACCGAUGUUGACUAGUCCGUCUCACAUGAUGAUCGGACACGGCCUAGUUAACUCGGAUCAUGUUAUACUUAGAUGACUAGAGGGAUGUCUAUCUGAGUGGGAGUUCAUUGAAUAAUUUGAUUAGAUGAACUUAAUUAUCAUGAACUUAGUCUAAAAUCUUUACAAUAUGUCUUGUAGAUCAAAUGGCCAACGUUGUCCUCAACUUCAAUGCGUUCCUAGAGAAAACCAAGCUGAAAGACGAUGACAGCAACUAUACGGACUGGGUCCAGAACCUGAGGAUCAUCCUCAUAGCUGCCAAGAAAGAUUAUGUCCUAGAAGCACCGCUAGGUGACGCACCAGUCCCACAGAACCAAGACAUUAUGAAUGCUUGGCAGACACGUGCUGAUGAUUACUCCCUCGUUCAGUGCGGCAUGCUUUACAACUUAGAACCGGGGCUCCAAAAGCGUUUUGAGAGACAUGGAGCAUAUGAGAUGUUCGAAGAGCUGAAAAUGGUUUUUCAAGCUCAUACCCGGGUCGAGAGAUAUGAAGUCUCCGACAAGUUCUUCAGCUGUAAGAUGGAGGAAAAUAGUUCUGUCAGUGAGCACAUACUCAAAAUGUCUAGGUUGCAUAACCGCUUGACUCAGCUGGGAAUUAAUCUCCCAGAUGACGCGGUCAUUGACAGAAUCCUUCAGUCGCUUCCACCGAGCUACAAGAGCUUUGUGAUGAAUUUCAAUAUGCAGGGGAUGGAAAAGACCAUUCCUGAAGUAUUUGCAAUGCUGAAAUCAGCAGAGGUAGAAGUCAAAAGGAACAUAAGUGUUGAUGGUGAAUAAAACCACUAAGUUCAAGAAAGGCAAGGGUAAGAAGAACUUCAAGAAGGACGGCAAGGGAGUUGCUGCCCGGUAAGCAAGCUGCCGGGAAGAAGCCAAAGAAUGGACCCAAGCUCGGGACUGAGUGCUUUUAUUGCAAGGAAAGUGGUCACUGGAAGCGGAACUACCCCAAAUACUUAGCGGACAAGAAGGCCGGCAUCACGAAAGGUAUAUGUGAUAUACAUGUAAUUGAUGUGUACCUUACCAGUACUCGUAGUAGCUCCUGGGUAUUUGAUACCGGUGCGGUUGCUCACAUUUGUAACUCAAAGCAGGAGCUGCGGAAUAAGCAGAGACUGACGAAGGACGAGGUGACGAUGCGCGUUAGGAAUGGUUCCAAGGUCGAUGUGAUCGCCGUCGGCACGCUACCUCUACAUUUACCUACGGGAUUAGUUUUAAACCUCAAUAAUUGUUAUUUAGUGCCAGCUUUGAGCAUGAACAUUGUAUCAGGAUCUCGUUUAAUACGAGAUGGCUACUCAUUUAAAUCCGAGAAUAAUGGUUGUUCUAUUUAUAUGAGAGAUAUAUUUUAUGGUCAUGCUCCGAUGGUGAAUGGUUUAUUCUUAAUGAAUCUCGAGCGUAAUGCUACACAUAUUCAUAGUGUGAACACCAAAAGAUGUAAGGUUUAUAAUGAUAGUCCCACAUAUUUGUGGCACUGCCGCCUUGGUCACAUAGGUGUCAAACGCAUGAAGAAGCUCCAUGCAGAUGGACUUUUAGAAUCUCUUGAUUACGAAUCAUUUGACACGUGCGAACCAUGCCUCAUGGGUAAAAUGACCAAGACUCCGUUCUCAGGAACAAUGGAGCGAGCAACCAACUUAUUGGAAAUCAUACAUACUGAUGUGUGCGGUCCAAUGAGUGUUGAGGCUCGCGGUGGCUAUCGUUAUGUUCUCACCCUCACUGAUGACUUGAGUAGAUAUGGGUAUGUCUACUUAAUGAAACACAAGUCUGAGACCUUUGAAAAGUUCAAGAAAUUUCAGAGUGAGGUUGAGAAUCAACGUGACAGGAAAAUCAAGUUCUUGCGAUCAGAUCGUGGCGGAGAAUACUUGAGUCACGAAUUUGGCACACACUUAAGGAAAUGUGGAAUAGUUUCACAACUAACGCCGCCUAGAACACCUCAGCGUAAUGGUGUGUCCGAACGUCGUAAUCGCACUCUAUUAGAUAUUGUGCGAUCUAUGAUGUCUCUUACCGAUUUACCGCUAUCAUUUUGGAGCUAUGCUUUAGAGACUGCCGCAUUCACUUUAAAUAGGGCUCCGUCGAAAUCCGUUGAGACGACACCGUAUGAAUUAUGGUUUGGGAAGAAACCUAAGCUGUCGUUUCUAAAAGUUUGGGGAUGCGAUGCUUAUGUCAAGAAACUUCAACCUGAAAAGCUCGAACCCAAAUCGGAAAAAUGCGUCUUCAUAGGAUACCCUAAAGAAACUGUUGGGUAUACCUUCUACCUCAGAUCCGAAGGCAAGAUCUUUGUUGCCAAGAAUGGGUCCUUUCUAGAGAAAGAGUUUCUCUCGAAAGAAAUAAGUGGGAGGAAAGUAGAACUUGAUGAAGUAUUACCUCUUGAACCGGUAAAUGGCGCAGCUCAAGAAAAUGUUCCUGAGGUGCCUGCACCGACUAGAGGAAGUUGAUGAUGAUCAUGAAACUUCAGAUCAAGUUGCUACUGAACUUCGUAGGUCCACAAAGACACGUUCCGCACCAGAGUGAUAUGGCAACCCUAUCUUGGAAAUCAUGUUGUUAGACAACGGUGAACCUUCGAACUAUGAAGAAGCGAUGGCGGGCCCGGAUUCCGACAAAUGGCUGGAAGCCAUGAAAUCCGAGAUAGGAUCCAUGUAUGAAAACGAAGUAUGGACUUUGACUGACUUGCCCGUUGAUCGGCGAGCCAUAGAAAAUAAAUGGAUCUUUAAGAAGAAGACAAACGCGGAUGGUAAUGUGAUCAUCUAUAAAGCUCGGCUUGUCGCUAAGGGUUAUGGACAAGUUCAAGGGGUUGACUAUGAUGAGACUUUCUCACCCGUAGCGAAGCUGAAGUCCGUCCGAAUCAUGUUAGCAAUUGCCGCAUUCUAUGAUUAUGAGAUAUGGCAAAUGGACGUCAAAACGACAUUCCUUAAUGGUUUCCUUAAGGAAGAAUUGUAUAUGAUGCAGCCGGAAGGUUUUGUCGAUCCUAAGAAUGCUGACAAGGUGUGCAAGCUCCAACGCUCGAUUUAUGGGCUGGUGCAAGCAUCUCGGAGUUGGAACAUUCGCUUUGAUGAGAUGAUCAAAGCGUUUGGGUUUAUGCAGACCUAUGGAGAAGUCUGCAUUUACAAGAAAGUGAGUGGGAGCUCUAUAGCAUUUCUCAUAUUGUAUGUGGAUGACAUACUGUUGAUGGGAAAUGAUAUAGAAUUCUUGGAAAGCAUAAAGGCCUACUUGAACAAGUGUUUUUCAAUGAAGGACCUUGGAGAAGCUGCUUAUAUAUUAGGCAUCAAGAUUUAUAGAGAUAGAUCAAGACGCCUCAUUGGUCUUUCAUAGAGUACGUACCUUGACAAGAUAUUGAAGAAGUUCAAAAUGGAUCAGUCAAAGAAGGGGUUCUUGCCUGUAUUGCAAGGUACGAGAUUGAGCAUGGCUCAAUGCCCAACCACGGCAGAAGAUAGAGAAAAGAUGAGUGUCGUCCCCUAUGCCUCGGCCAUAUGGUCUAUCAUGUAUGCUAUGCUGUGUACCAGACCUGAUGUAAACCUUGCCGUAAGUUUGGUAGGAAGGUACCAAAGUAAUCCCGGCAUGGAACACUGGACAGCGGUCAAGAAUAUCCUGAAGUACCUGAAAAGGACCAAGGAUAUGUUUCUCGUUUAUGGAUGUGGCGAAGAGCUCGUCGUAAAGGGUUACGUCGACGCUAGCUUCGACACAGAUCUGGAUGACUCUAAGUCACAAACCGGAUACGUGUAUAUUUUGAAUGGUGGGGCAGUAAGCUGGUGCAGUUGCAAGCAAAGCGUCGUGGCGGGAUCUACAUGUGAAGCAGAAUACAUGGCAGCCUCGGAUGCAGCACAAGAAGCAAUCUGGGUGAAGGAGUUCAUCACCGACCUAGGAGUCAUACCCAAUGCGUCGGGGCCGAUGACUCUCUUCUGUGACAACACUGGAGCUAUUGCCCUUGCCAAGGAGCCCAUGUUUCACAGGAAGACCAAGCAUAUCAAGCGUCGCUUCAACUCCAUUCAUGAAAGUGUUCAAAAUGAAGACAUAGAGGUUUGUAAAGUACAUACAGACCUGAAUGUAGCAGAUCCGUUGACUAAACCUCUCCCUAGAGCAAAACAUGAUCAACACCAGAACUGCAUGGGUGUUCGAUUCAUCACAAUGUAACUAGAAUAUUGACUAGUGCAAGUGGGAGACUGUUGGAAAUAUGCCCUAGAGGCAAUAAUAAAAUGGUUAUUAUUAUAUUUCUUUGUUCAUAAUAAUUGUCUAUUGUUCAUGCUAUAAUUGUGUUAUCCGGAAAUCGUAAUACAUGUGUGAAUACAUAGACCACAACACGUCCCUAGUGAGACUCUAGUUGACUAGCUCGUUGAUCAAAAGAUAGUCAUGGUUUCCUGACUAUGGACAUUGGAUGUCAUUGAUAACGGGAUCACAUCAUUAGAAGAAUGAUGUGAUGGACAAGACCCAAUCCUAAGCUUAGCUCAAAGAUCGUGUAGUUCGUUUGCUGUAGCUUUUCUGAAUGUCAAGUAUCAUUUCCUUAGACCAUGAGAUUGUGCAACUCCCGGAUACCGUAGGAGUGCCUUAGGUGUGCCAAACGUCACAACGUAACUGGGUGACUAUAAAGGUACAUUACAGGUAUCUCCGAAAGUGUCUGUUGGGUUGGCACGAAUCGAGACUGGGAUUUGUCACUCCGUAUGACGGAGAGGUAUCUCUGGGCCCACUCGGUAAUGCAUCAUCAUAAUGAGCUCAAUGUGAUCAAGUGGUUGAUCACGGGAUCAUGCAUUACGGUAUGAGUAAAGUGACUUGCCGGUAACGAGACUGAACAAGGUAUUAGGAUACCGACGAUCGAGUCUCGGGCAAAUAACGUACCGAUUGACAAAGGGAAUUGUAUACGGAUUGAUUGAAUCCUCGACAUCGUGGUUCAUCCGAUGAGAUCAUCGUGGAGCAUGUGGGAGCCAACAUGGGUAUCCAGAUCCAGCUAUUGGUUAUUGACCGGAGAGGCUUCUCUGUCAUGUCUGCAUGUCUCCCGAACCUGUAGGGUCUACACACUUAAGGUUCGGUGACGCUAGGGUUGUAGAGAUAUUAGCACACGGUAACCCGAAAGUUGUUCGGAGUCCCGGAUGAGAUCCCGAACGUCACGAGGAGUUCCGGAAUUGUCCGAAGGUAAAGAUUCAUAUAUAGGAAGUCCAGUUUCGGCCAUCAGAAAGGUUCAGGGGUCACGGUAUUGUACCGGCACCACCGGAAGGGUCCCGGGGGUCCACCGGGUGGGGCCACCUAUCCCGGAGGGCCCCAUGGGCUGAAGUGGGAGGGGAACCAACCCCUAGUUGGCUGGUGCGCCCCCCCUUGGGCCUCCCCUGUGCCUAGGGUUAGAAACCCUAGGGGUGGGGGCGCCACCCUUGCCUUGGGGGACAAGGCACCCCCUUGGCCGCCGCCCCCCUAGGAGAUUGGAUCUCCUAGGGCCGGCGCUCCCCCCCUAGGCACCCUAUAUAUAGUGGGGGGGGGGGAGGAAGGGCUACGCACCCAAGCCCCUGGCCUCUCCCUCUCCCUCCUGUGACACUCCUCCAUCUCCCUUGCGCUUGGCGAAGCCCUACCGAGAUCACCGUUGCUUCCACCACCACGCCGUCGUGCUGCUGGAUCUUCAUCAACAUCUCCUUCCCCCUUGCUGGAUCAAGUUGGAGGAGACGUCUUCCCAACCGUACGUGUGUUGAACACGGAGGUGUUGUCCGUUCGGCACUUGGUCAUCGGUGAUUUGAAUCACGUCGAGUCCAUCAACCCCGUUCUCUUGAACGCUUCCGCUCGUGAUCUACAAGGGUAUCUAGAUGCACUCCUCUUUUCCUCGUUGAUAGAUGACUCCAUUGAUUGAUCUUGGUGAUGCGUAGAAAAUUUUAAAAUUCUGUUACGUUCCCCAACAAGAAGUAACUGGCACCUAAAAGAUUCAGUUAGGAAAAUCAAAUAACUAAAUGUACAGUGCAGCAACGGCGAACCGGCCUCAAAACUCUGUCAAUUCAGUAGUAUUUUUAUUUAUUUUCUUCACAAUGAACUGCACAGUGAUUUUAGGCUAAUUUUGACGAAAGCUGUGGGGUCAGGAUAAGGAAGGUUGUGCACAACAACCACCCGCCACAGCCCGAUUCUUUUCGUAUUAUCAAUGAUCUUCUUUAUUGCAGCUUCAGUUUCAUCCAGAAACAUGAAGCAAACAACAUCUUUUGAAAAUGUACUAAUCUUUUCUGAUUGUUGCAUUAUAUCAUAAUUCCCUGAGAAAAACAAAUAAGAAAGCUCACACACAACGUGCAAUUAGCACCGACAUGGAAACAUGACACCAUGUAAAUAUAAUUGGCAUAGAAAAGAAGAUGCAGUUACCAAAAAUAGCAGAAGCAACUGUCCCCUGGCACUGCCGCAUCUCAUACAGAUCAGCUUCUUCUAGACCGAAUGCAGUAUUGAGACCAUGUAUCUCCCCCCUCAAAAAUCUACUGAAAAGUAGGAAGUACCAAGAGGUUACAUUCAACGGAUGUGGCAUGGAUCAAAGCAUACUCGUUUUUACUUGAUUUGAUGACAUAUCAAUCAGGAAUAAGCAAUAUUAGAAAGCCUACACAUCUCAGCAUCACCAAGAUGUGUAGAUUUCUCCAUUUCUCCUUGAGCAUAAAUAUUAACCUUAGAUUUUUUUACGGAGUCUAUCACCUGCAGUAGGUGUUGAGUGCGUAAAAACAACACAAUACUAAGAGCAUGGCCCCAAUUAUAGCACUGAACAAAAGCUCAAAAAAAAAUUAUAGCACUGAACAAGAUAAUACUGAGAGCAUGGCAGCACAUCAAACAUGAUUAGUUGCAACAUGUGAAGCUAAUUGAAUAAGCAACACCAAAUUAGGCAUAGACCUUUUAAAAAUUCAGUAGGAACCACUGAUUAAAUUAUAAGCAUUGGACCAACAUUAUCUCAUUAAUGCUGAGGGGCACACAAGGAGGUUAUCGUAGCCCCAAGAACACAGGAGCACGGACACGCCCAGUCAGUUGGUACAACUAAAGUCCGAUUUUUUAAUAACCAACAUUGGUUUCAGAUUUUAUAUCGCUCAGACUGCAUAAAAAUAGAGUACACAGGCUGGAUCAUGUUUCCUCAAUCAAAUUAUAGUAAUUGUUCAUGGAAGCAGUCAUAGUGUACAUUGUACACAAAUGCAAUCGUUUCUUUCAGCUUGAAGCAGAGAACCACCAAGAAAAAAGGAGGAGGGAGUAUCAAGCACACAUUUAUCUUGUCAAAAAUCAGAUACUCGGCCUUCAAAUGAGUGCAAGAAAUCUGAACAAUUUACUCAUUAAUGCCAGGUUCCUGCCCACCAAACUGAUUGCAUGGGAAAGUAAGGAACUCAAAACCUGUGGUCGCAUCAAAUUGUAAGCAUAAUAUAUCAUAACUGAAAAUCAAGGACUGAUCAUAUGCAGAUAGAUCAUACCCUGGUCCUUGUACUUCUUGUACAAUUGAGCCAGUUCCAUCUAGUUGGAAUCGGUCUAAGAUACUGUAGUAGUUACAGGAAACGAUUGUCUUUGUUAAUAUAAUAAAAUGGUAAUCCUUUCAGUAUUUACAUCACUUGGCACAUGGAGAAUUAGAUGAAACAAUCAAUGUCACGACACUUAGAUGCGCAAAAAGUCUGGGUGUCCAACUCCAUACCAACUUGAUCAGAGUAGUUUUGUUUGCAUGCAUAGAAAACUUUGAUGCAAAUCGUAAAUGCUGAUCGUAAUGACCCACAAACUACUGAGAUGAUGGGGGUAUUUAGCAGAACAAUAUUUUAACCUUUGAAUUGUGCGAUAUACACAUUUACUCUUCUUUGAUCUAUGGAAUAUACUUUGUGUGUCGGUACUUCUGUUCAACAAAGAAAAGAAGAAGAGAUGUUUGGUUUCAUUUUCAGUGAAGUGGCGAAAUAACCCUAAAGUAGUAUCUGCAAAUGAAUCUUUAGAUGAUAGAUGUUUAGGCCUUCCACUUUCGUAAGCUUCAGAACGCCCUUGGGAGUUGCUUUUGUGUAAGAGAUAUUGAAGUGAACUGUUUAGAGUGGAGAAUAAAAAAUUAUAAAAUACUUGAAAAAAAAGGAAAACCAUCACUCAACUUUCAGGUCCCUCAAGCUUGUUCACAGCCUCUACAGAAUACUGAUGUAGAUCGAGAAGAUGACCAUCGGGUUAUAGUACUGUCCAAAGUCCAAACCACCACUUUGGAAAUCAAAGUGCAAGUUGCCUUACCUGGUCCCGUGCGCCGAGGCAUGACACCAUCGACCCAUUCCUCCCAACCUUGCUUGCAUUCGCGCAUUAUGCCUAAUCACUUAACUGAACUGAACUAAAUGUAGUGGGAUGGGGAUGAAUUAUACUGAGAUGACAGAUUAACAUAGACACAUAGUAGGAGCUUACUUGUUGCCUCUGAUCUUGAACCAGGUCUGCUUUUGGGAGUACGAAAGGUCGCCCUUGCAGGAGGCCGAGCGUGGGACUCAUGUUACUACAGACUGAAAUCAAUCAUCAACAUCACAACAUAUCUUCCAAUAAAUCUGAUCUAUUUGGUCUGCAGCAGGACGAGUGGAGAAUAAAAGAGAAAAAGAAUCCAUCUCACCCGGUGGAUUCUAGGACGUCCAUGCAGAUCUUGUAGCGCCCUUGUGCAGAUCUUCGUUGUAGGCUAGCUGCCGCUCGGCGCUCGGUGGCCAGCGCCUUCGUAGCCAAUCCCCUGAACGCCUCCCCUCACCUGGGAGAAAAUCCGACGAUGGCCCGUUCUUCAAAUUCCCACGUCUGUUAAUUUCUUGUUUAUCGAUGCUGCUCUUCUUCUCUUCCCUCCUUUGAGCAAAAGGAUCAACACCAGGCUCUGUAAUAAAUCAUACUUAGUUAAAAGGGUAACAGAACGCAAACAUGUUUGCACUAACUAUACUGACAAUGAAGACCCAAGAGAUCCAGUCAGUGAUAAAUGAAAAAAAAUUACUGAAGCAAAAGUGUGCAGGUUGUUAAGCAUAUGUGUCAGUGUCACAACACACGACUGCAAUAUUAUGUAAAUCUCGAAAUGAUUGCUACUCGCUAGAUUCAGUUACUCAAAAUGCGAAGAGCAUUGGAGGCUUAAAAAGAACAUUGGACU
rnacentral:lncRNA from 1 species